AUUUUGUGGAUUAUUUGUUCAGUGAUGGGAGAAUUUUUCUGGGUGAAACUUCUCCAGCUUGCUGGAGCAAACCAUCUAUGUUUGCAUAUUCCUGAGUAAACAUCACAAAGUAAGCUUUUGCAUGUUGUAGGCUCUUCUUGGAAAGAUCUAUCUUUUCAAGUAGUUCCUCCAUCCGAAAGUGGUCUCAUAUUCCAUUGCCUUGAGUAGUGGCAUCGCUACAUUUACCUUUUAGGAAUGGCCAUGGGACAAACAUGUGUUUUAAGAUAUUUUCAGUUAUAACAUAUUCAUGUUUUUUCAACCUUGAACUACCAUUUUUUCUUGUUCUGUAUUGUGGAUUCAAUCUGUGUUUUUUUUGGUGGGAAAAACUGUUACUAAUCACUAAUCAGAUGUAAUAAAUAAUCCUACCUCAUCUGGUUUCAUUCUAGUUGGAUUUUUAUUUGCUGAAUUUGACUGUUUUACUGACGGGAGGAUUUUUCUGGGUGAAAAUUCUCCAACUUGGUGGAGCAAACAAUCCAUGUUUGCAUAUUCCUAAGUAAACGUCACAAAGUAAGCUUUUGGAUGUUGAUGGCUCUUCUUGGGAAGAUCUAUCUUUGCAAGGAGUUCCUCCAUCUGAAAGUUGUCUCAUAUUCCAUCGCCUUGAGGAGCGGCGUUGCUGCAAUUACCUUUUAGGACUGGCCAUGAGACAAACAUAUGCAUCUUCCUCUGUAUUUUUUUGUGUUACCCACUUCAAUAUUUGUGGUCAGUAAUGGCUGCUACAUAUACUUUAUAUUUGUUUAGUAAUUGCUUCAGUAUAUUCUUUAGUUGUUAAACUAUCCAUAGAUCUCUGUAGCGGUCGUAGGAUUUUUUUUUUCUGGCUGGGAUUUUCUUUAUAGAAAUCCUGUACUAGUUCGUGAAAAUUUACUCAUCAAGAAAUUAUUCGGCAGCUGAUGGUUCUAAAUGUUUUCUCCGUUGUAUUGUUGGUUGCUUCUGUUCUGAAUUGAGUGACCCGCAUACAAUAUGUUAUUCUCAGUAAGAAGCAUAUAUGGAAAAGAUAAUAGACCAGUCUUAAACAGCAUGGUGGUUAAUUGCUGCACUGUGUUACCUGUCGCCUGGUACAUUUUUUUAUUCGUGGAAAGUUUGAUGUCAUUCCAUCUAUCACCAGCCAAAAUCUUUGGUUACUUUGCAUGCUCUAAUUUCAUUUCUUUUGUGCCAGUCAGGCUGCUUUAAGCUCCUAGUUCUAAAGCCAGUGAAUGUUUUGUAGCUCCUAAAUAAAUAUUGGUUCUUUAAUAAAUAUUGGUACUGGAGACAAGCGAUGUACAUUUAUUAGUAUUCUGAUAUAACUGCGGUUAUUGAAUUGAUCAGUUCUGUUGUUGAAAUAUCUGUUGAAGACUUGAACUGGUGAAUUUAUUUUCUUUUCUGUUGUGUCAAGUUGUUCUCUUGACAAUUUUUAUCAUUUGCUCUUCUGCAGAUAAUGCAGGAGUUAUUGUGAAUCCCAAAGGAGAAAUGAAAGGUAUGCUAGAGUUAACUUGAUAGUAUUAGUUUUACCUCGUUCCGUUUUUUCCAGUACAGAAAGAGACUUUGGUGUUGUAAUUGCUUGGCCUCGAUUCAGGAGUAGCAGGUAUCUGGCUAACAAAAAAUGCCUAGGCUUCUAGCCUUCUCAGGAGGCAGGAAGAGCUCAUUCCUAGUCCUCAAUAGCAGAAGCCUGAAGCUGGGGCUUCUGCUUUUAGCUGCUUAUGGCAUUUCUUUGGGUACAUUUUAGGGUAGAAUACCUCAAGGAAAGACUAGAACACCAAAAAAAGAAAGAGUGGUUGUAUGGUGAUUUGCAUUUUGCCCUAUCAAUAUAUGAAACUCGAAAUUUGGAGAUUUAUCUCUGAUCAAUUUGAAUAUCCUUCACCCUUUUGACAAGGGAAGUUGUUAUCAUAGUUCGCAUAAUCAAGAUAGUAAAGCACAACAAAGUUGUAUAAUCUAUUGUGUUCAUUUGCAUUUGAGGCAUUUUAGCAGUAAGCUGUCUGCAGCUCUAUUCUAACAUACUGGUGCAGAAGCUUCAGCAGGCUAAGCAGGCCUCUGCAUUAUUUUAUGCCUAACAAAAUUAUGUUCAGAUAAUCAACAGAAUGAAUCUUUUUAACGCAGGCUCUGCAAUAACGGGACCAAUUGGAAAGGAAUGUGCCGACUUGUGGCCUAGGAUUGCUAGUGCGGCCAAUGCUAUCGUUUGAUCCCCUCGCCUUUGGAAGAAAAAGGAAACAAACUUCUACACCAAUAACCAGAAUUGGGAAAGAAGUAUACAUAUCUUCACUUUUCUGCAUUUUCCAGCUUUGAACAGGUGUCGGGCCUGUCGAAUCAUGGCUCUGUAAACAACUUGUUGUCUAGCAUUAUAUUCACUAGAAUUUCCUUGACUUUCAGCUAGAGGAUUUUAGACAUCAAACUACUGAGAAAAUGAUUUUUUUGUGCUUGUGUUUUGGUUGUGAAAGUUGCUGAAGCUUUUGGCUAGUCUUACUUCAAGUUUGUCAUUUUGAAAAAGAUUAUUCCAGAAUAGAAUGGGUGAAACCGUGAUAUAUGGAUAAUUAUUUCAGUUUCUACCCUAUUUGUUGAAUCAAAGAUAACAAAUGAGUUGAUUGAGCCUGGAAAGUUUCAUUUAGCUAGUUCAGGGUUGUAAUUUGUAAAGAAUAAUGACUCAUGCAUCAGUGCUUGCUUUUUCAGCUGAAGUUCUUUUGAGUACUCAUGGAUGAUUAUUGGAAACAAGACAAGCAGGGCUAUAAAACCAGGCAGAAUGAGUGCUCUACCAUCCUGUCAUCUUGAGUAAGUUAAUGAAGGAAGAAACGGUAAACAUCUAAAUCACUAUAAAUGGUCGUGAAAUUGUGGAUUAUAAAAAGGUUAAUAGAGGCUAUGGUAUCUAGAAGGCUCUCUGCAUUAUUCACAGCUUCGGAUAGAGUUGCGACGCCUGAGCAUGGAUGGUUGCCACUCCAAUUGAGAAGCACUGCAGAGCCGAGAGAGUCGACUUGAAGCGGAUUAGGAAAAGAUCUUCACCCACAUUCAGCAGCCUGAAUGCAGGUUCACCAUGCUUUGCGCCCUGCGAAGUGUAACCGGAUGUUCAUCAGUUAUUACUAGCUUGCUACUGCUACCUAGAAACUAGAACAUUGUUAAAUUCAUCGUGUUCGAAAGUAAGAGGCUAUAAGCUCCAUAUUCAAUUCAUGAAAGAAUGAGCCUUGAGAUAGAGAUGCAGAGAGAAAUAACUAGCUCCAUUGAGAGACCAAAAUAAAACUUGUCAUUUCAGGAAAUGACAAGGAACCAGUAAAUUCAUUUUGAGAUCUAAUGAUAAAAAAAGGAGGCAUUGAGAUCUUAUGAUGUGUCUUAUAUAGCAAUAUCUCACAGAACUUUUUUUUUUAAAAAAAUAACCAAUACCUUACCAAAAUAUAAUGCACAUAGGCUUAUCCAAUUUACCUUCUAACAAAAUAAGAGGUGCCUGAGGUUUUAAAACAUCCAAAGAAUCUCAUACCACUUACCAACUUAUAAAUGCAGACACAACUUCACAGUAUUUUAACCAGAAAGAUGGCACAAUUGAGAUUAUAUACUUUAGCUGUAUAUGCAACUCUAAAACUCACCUCCAUGAACAGAUCAAUGGAAUUGCAUUCCUGUGACUCUUUGUGGGGCGAAGUUUCCGAUACCGUGGUGCUGUCACUGAGCACUGUAAUAGGACACCCGACAUCCCACCCGCCACAGUCGCAGAGGCCGCCGGACUUCCAUCUCUCCGUAAGACUUGAUGGGCCCCCACUGCUUGUAACUGGACCACCAUGAACUCCACUUGGGAUCACAACAUUCACACGCCUCGACGAUCUUCUUCUAUUCUGCAUGCAACCUCCUUCCGCUUUUGCAAGGAAUUUGAGGCCCCACCCACCGGCAGAAAACUCUCCGUUGCUCUUAUGAUGAUAAUCUUUCACGACAAUCGCAGAUAGCUCGAGGUUGGGGGGGAAAUCAUCAGUAAGAAGGCGAGGAGGCACUAAUUCAUCGAUGCCACGAAAAUCGCCGGCAAUAACCUCGUGAAUGUCAUUAAACUGAGAACACGAUUUAGCAGCUUUAUGGCAAAUCUUGCGCUUCGGUGAGUAGCUUGGCGUUAACAUCUUUGCGACUUUUUUGGAAAAACCCUUAGUUUUUGUGAGAGAUGAAGAAGACCUUUGCAUUUCUGCCGAAAGGCCACCGUCAGCAUCGAACAACACAAAUUCGGUUUCUAUGCAGUCCGAUUCUUUUGAGCUCAAACGUAAAGAACUCGACACCUUCAUCUUAGCAGCAAAUCUCGAUCCCUUUCUCGCCUGAAAGACAUAGAUGUAAUCCAAUUCCUUGUCAACCGUAGACCGGACCUUCAGAGGAUUCGCCACGUAAAUCUCGCUCGGAUCAUCCUCUACUGAAAACUCAAAGUGAGGAAGCCCAUUUUUCCACAUGCAGCAGAGAAGGCCUGUGGAUAUAAGGUUCGACGACACUGAGGUCGAACUAGACCGGGACUGAAUCGUCUUCUCAGAAUAACUCGACUCAGAAGUGCUUCUCUUAAAAGGUACUAUUCUUCCUUUGGGCGUCCGCGGGGCAACAAACGAGCGCUUGUGUAGCGCCCUCACCUUGAGAGCUGCUUCUAAAGAUUCAAAUAUCAGCAUCCUCGAAGGACUUACAGCAGCAGAAUCUUCUGUACUAGCCUGUGAAGAAGACUCGUCGACAAAGUCGUCAAGAUCGGUAACACUCGGUUUUCUACGAUCUCUCAAACUUUUGAUAACUAGAUCUAAGGAUCUCAUGUUCGAAGGCAUGUUGAACAAGGAUGACGCUAGGUAAAAGAUACGCUGACGCCGACGGUGGUUGUAACGAGGCUGCUCCAAAUCAGCAGAAAAUGGUAGAAAAUCCCUGCUAGGGCUGAUGAAAUUUAUGUAGUACGGAUAGGCGAGAUCGGUGCUACAAGGGCAAGAAUUUUGUUUGCGUCGAGAACUUUUGCUUUUCGGGGACUCUAAGAUUAAGGGCAUGUUUCCGGCGAUGUUCCGAAGCUCCGAUUUAAGCUCGGAUACACCGAAAAUCGGAUCACCGUUCUCCUCCGUGCUUGAACCACAUUCCGGAGUACCGUUUUCAUCGUGCCGUCCCUCUCGCCCCUCCAUAUAUAGAUGUUCCAUCUCGGCGUAUGAGAAUACAGUUCUACGCACCGGCGAUGCAAAAUAAGGUCGCGGUCAUCUACAAGAUUUCAAUAAAAGGUAUUAAAUCAGUAAAAAGAGAACAUAUCUAGGAAUGAAAACAAUGCAAUUAAGUAGUUUGGUUGGUUUUACGCUAACCAAUUAAACUGAAACAACAGCGGCUAAGAACUACUCAACUCAGCAACUGCAUGAAAUAUGUAUACAUUGCAUGAAGGGGUGAUCUGGUUCCUCGGAAAAGCAUGAAAAACUGGUUUCUGAAAAAUAUUAUUUUCUAAAGUUUUCGUUUUCCGGAUAAAAAGAAAUCGAAAAACGAAAAAUAUACUUUUCUGUAAAAUUUGAAAAAAAAGAACUUUUUCGAGAAAACUACUUUUCCUAUAAACCAAACAAACGAAAAAUACUUUUUUUUUUUCGGGAUAUUGGGAAAAUGAGGGAAAGAAAGAAGCUUGAAUGCAUAAUGGAUAUGGUUGCUUCUAUUGUGUGUAAACAAAAAAAAAAAAAAAAAAAAAAAAAAAAAGAUAAACUCCAAAUACCAUUUAUAUGAUUUCCCACUAGUAUCAUGUGAUUUAAUGUGUGCCAAUCUAAGUACUCUGUGAUUUUAUUUCUCUUUUUGCCGGUCAUUUCGUUAAUUUUUCGUUAGAUCAUAUACAAAAAAAUUCAGAUACUCUAUCUAUAAUUCAUUAAAUAUUCACUUUCCCACCGUUUAGUUUUAAUUUUAUUUCUGAUUUAACGAAAAAAAAAUAACGAAGAAAAUAAAAAAAGAAAAAAAAAAACUAUACAGUACAAAAAUGACACAUUUUACAUCACAGCGUACUAAAGUGAGAUAGUAUAAACUAUAUAGAUGGUAUUUGAAGUUUUCCAAAAAAAAAAAAAAUCACACAAGAUGUGGGAAAAAGUUACAGCUUUAUCUCAAGCAGAGGAGCAAGCAUUACACACCCUUUUGCAAGAAAUUAAAGAGAAAAGGCAUGAAGAUAUUUAAGAGAAUGAAAGGAAAAGAGAGUGAGAAAUACACAAAAGUAAAAGAUUCCUCACCUUGGAGAUCAAUAGGAUCCAAACUGAUGAAAUUGGCUACAGCUAUUCUUUUUUUCAAAUAAAAAAAAGGUUUUUUUUAUGGAUUUUAUCGAGCUCAAACACAGAAGAAAAGGGGAGAAAAGGAGAAAUUUUGAUGAAUGAAUGAGCUGCUACGAUGAAACCUGAAUACAAAAAAGAGCACACAAAAUGGAGGAGGAGAAAAAAGAGAAAAAAAAAAAAAAUUAAGAAAAAAAAAAAGGCCCAAAUGGGUUUCUUGUGAAACACCUUAGAAAGAAGCUAACGAAGAUCAAAAUUUGAGUAAAUGGGCUACAAUAUCAACAAAAAAAAAAAAAAAACCAACACAAUAGCAGCAACAGAGAGGCAAAUGAAGAGAAAAAUGUCGUUUUUAGAGAGAGAGAGAGAGAGAGAGAGAGAGAGCACCAAGCCCAUGUGACGAGCGGAGAGUAAACAACAACAACAAGAACACAUACCCAGGUCCCCAAAGAUCCCUUUUUAUCGCUCUCGUAGUGUUUGUUCCACUGUUGCGUGGUGUUCUGGGCCUUUUGUGCUUCUUGCUCCCUCUCCACUCCCCUGUUCAGUCCACACACCACAAAAAAAUCAAAAAAAAGGGGAAAAAACAGAGAAUAGUGGAAUCAAAGAGAGAGGAGAGAGAGAGAGGAGAGAGAGAGAGAGAUCACGAGAGAGAGGGUUGGGGUGGGGCGAAGAGGAAUCGAACGAGAACGUGAAUGGGUUGAGUGUGUGUGUACGCAUCCCAUUCCCCCAUUCCCACCACUUCGACCCCACUUUUUGUUUCAAUCCUCUGCUUUGGCCGUUUCUUCUUUUUUUUUUUUUAUUUAUGAGUUUUUUAUGUAUAAUUUAAUAAUUUAUUAUUAUUGCUUAUUGCUCUUUGCAAUCUUUGAAUUUGGCAGUUUUUUUUAAAUAAACUUUAAAUAUUAUUAUUUUAUCCAUUUUACUAUUUUUUUUUUAUUUUAAUAUCACAUGGUUUAAAAUGUAUCAAGUUAGUAUCUUAUAAUUUUAUUUUAUUUUUCAAUUCUUCUGUUAAUAUUUUGUUAAAUUAUAUACAAAAAGAUUUUAGAUAUCUUAUAUAGAUUUAUCGAAUAUUUACUUUGGUACUAUUUAGUUUUAACUUUGUUAUUGAUUUAACGGAAAAAAAAAAUAGUAAAAUGGAUAAAUAAAAAGAGAAAAAUAAGAUCAGGGUACUAAAUUGAUACAUUUUAAAUUAUAGGGUACUAAAAUUAAAAAGUGUGAAAUCACAAAAGUGAUAUUUAAAGUUUUUUCUUUUUUUAUUUUGUUUCUUUUGUUAAAAAUAUAUGUAACUAAUUCGAGCUUUUAAGUGAUCCAAAAACAACCAACCAACCAGUCACUUUAUCAUUAAAAGUUAUAGGCCAAGUUACAGGAAUUUUUUUCCAUAAAUAUUCAUUUUUUCAUUUUUCUCUAUAAUUUUCAAAAAUUUAUAUUUUAUCUUUUAAAAUUUUAGAUAUAUUUUUAGGAGGAUACGGCGUUAAUAAAGAUAACAAAAUAACCAAAUUAUCUUCACUCUUUUAUAAAAAAAAAAUAAAUAUUUAAUAUAUUUUUGUCAUUUUAAAGAGUAUUUUCAAUAUAAAUUAUAAAAAAAGAAUGAAAUAGUGAUGUAACACUAAUGGAUAGAGUGGCUAAAUGUAACAAUUGAAAUGUUGAGAUAGUAAAAUGUACGUUUUUGAAAGUCAGAGAAAAAAAAUAAAAAAGUGGGUAUCUAUAGAGAAUUUUUUUUAUAAUUUAGCCAAAAUUUUAAUUUUACGGUCUAUAUUUAAUUUUAUUUUACUUUGUUUUAGAGGUUUAGUAGUUCUAAAAAAUUAUUAUAUGUGCUGAUGCAUUUGUGUAUUCGUAACACUUUUUUUGUUGCUCAUUUAAUUUAUCCAAUUGCUAAGUAUCUGUCAUCCAAUAAAUUAUAAUUUUUCAAUUAAAAAUUGAGCGACAUGUGAUGCAUUAAAAAAAUUAAAAUACAUAAAAUUUUUCUGUAAAUAUUUAUUUUUAUAUCUCUUUUUUCCAACUUCUAAAAAUAUUCAUUUUGCCUCCAUAAAAUUUUAGAAAUAUUUAGAGAAUUGCGACGUUAAUGGGAGAAAAAAAAAACCAAAUUAUCGUUACUUGUUGUAUAAGAAAAAAUAACUUUUUAAUAUAUUUAUGUCAUUUUUAAUAACAUUUUUAGUAUAAAUUAUAAAAAAUUAACAGAAUAGGGACAGAACCGUCAAGGUUAAAUGUAUAAAUUUAAAAUUUGAGGGAAUUAAAAUAUAGAUUUUUAAAAAUCAAGAGAAAAAAAAAGUAAGAAAACGGAUAUUCACGAAAAGAUUUUCUCUAUUUUAGCCAAAAAUAUGAUGUAUAAAUAUCUAGACACAUAGUUACUUUUAAGAAAGCAAAUUAAACUAUUUGCACGAUCAAACAAUAAAAUUAAAAUUUCUAAACAUUUUUAAAAAAUUAAAUAAAUCUUUCUCAAAUUAUCCAAAAUUUUGGUCAGCUCUAUACAUCUUCACUAGAUUUUAUUUUGGUUUAAAUAUGAUUUAUAAAGUACGCCUCACUAUAUUUUAUUUUGGUCCCCAACUCCUUUUUUUUUUUUUUUUUGCAAUUGGAUGUUUAACCUAUAAGAUCAAUUGUACUAUUUGUCCUUAACCUUUCACUGGUUUUUUUUUAUUUUCUUUUCUUUAACUUUGAUUCUUACCCUAUUCUCCAUUUUAGGGAUCUAAUAUAAAAAAAUAACAUUUUAGGGACCAAUGUUUCCAAAAAAAAGGGUAAAUAUUAGGGACCAAUGGUGUUAAUAACCCAAAAAAUUAGCCACUUUAAUUGAGAUUCUAUUCGUAUCUGUUUUUUUUUUUCUUUUUUUCUUUUUUUCUUUUUUUUUUUGUGAGUCAUUCAUGACUGUGGUUCAAAAAGUUACACUUAAUUAUCCCGCAGUUUAACUCUUUAUUUUUAUUUAACACUUUAUGGUUCAAAAAUUUAUACUUAACUAUUAUCUUGUGAUAAUUUUUUUUUUACUUCACUAUCUUAUUUGAUAGUAGAUUUUUUACAUUAAAAAAUAGAGAUAAAACUACAAAAUUAAUAAAUACAACUUUUGAACCACGGAGUAACAAAAUAAAAAAUAAGCUAAACUCAUGAGAGGCAAAUUAAAGUUUAUAAUUUUUUUUUUCAAAAAAAAAAAAACUCAGCUUAAAAUAUAAAAGCAAGCUAAACCACAUGGAAGCACAUUAAAGUUUACGGUUCUUUUUUUUAAAGAAAUAAAAAAUAAAUCAGUUAGAAAUGUGAAGUAAUUAAGUUUUAAACUUAGGACUCCGAGUAUCAACCUUGAACUCUUUUAAGUCUUUAGUCAAUUACGCUAGAUACGAUCAGUCACAUGUAUCUGCUUUUACGGACGAAAGAAUAUUAUAGCAUAAUUCAAAAUUUUGUGGGGGUUUACUGAUGUAUUGGUGCACCAGUGCAUGCAAACAAUCCAGUUUCUGCAGCUCAGCAGGGAAUAGGUGUCAGAAGAUAUUCAGCUGAGACUCUCUGACCCUUCUUUUAUCAGCUUCCUGCAGGUUGUUGUUGAUGCUCUUUAAAUUAAUUAACUGUUUAUUCCUGUAUUCUCUCCAUUACCAGAUUCUUAUGUAUAAUAAUAAAUGUGAACUUAAUAGAUCCAAGACAAAGUUGCACUUUGGGAUGGUAUUUUUAUUCUUAAAUUAUAAUUUAAGGUGGUUAAUUUCAUACAGAUUUUUAUAAAUAUAGUAAAUUACAAAUAUAUUUCUAUAAAAUUCAACUUUUAUAUGUUGUCGCUAUAAAAAUUCUAAUAUUUUUAAAUAUGUCCCUUUGGCUUGUUACCGUUAAAAUACUGUUUAUUUUAUAAAUGAAAUGAUAUUUUUGCCAUCACAAAUAUGUCCCUUCAAAAGUCCCAACUAUUAAUUAAAGAGGGGUAAAAAAAUCAAUUCACCUCAUAAACUAACUAGGAUUAAGUAUUUUACCUAUGGUUAAUUAAUCUUUUCUGACGGAUCCUAUCGGCAGGAACAUAUUUGAAAAUAUCAGGACUUUUAUAGGAAUACCAUAUGAAACUUGAAUUUUAUAGGAAUAUAUUUGUAAUUCAUUAUAUUUAUAGAAACCUGUGUAAAAUUAACCCAUAAUUUAAUGUAAACUUCUGCUUGAACAAUGUAAACUAUUGUAGUUCAGUCCCACGGUCAAAUUUAGUUAAUUACUGAAUAAUAACGCGUCGCUAAUAUAGAAAUAACAUGACUUUUUAAUCAUUGUAAUAUUAUUACCCACAAUGAUGCCGCAGCAACAUCAUGCUAUCAUUCAGUUAACUAAAUUAUAAUGCGGGUGGUGUUAAUUAUGAUAAUCAAGAAUUGACUCUGCAGUGAUUCCAGUUCUUACUACUACUACUUUAAAAUGCAGUACAAUUUCUCAUUUGGAAGUCAUAUCUAAUCCGAGAAAACUGGAUGAAUAGUAUAGUAAGUUAAUCAAAAUGCAUCAAAUAAUUAGAUAUGACUUGUAGAUAGUAAAUUUAGAUUCAUUAGGAUCAAAGUUUUGAACAGUUACAGCUCUUUAAUUAUUCAUGAUGAACCUAGUCAUCACAUAAUAAAAUGAUUGAGUAUGAUCCACCUACAUGCAUGUAGUAAAUUUAGAUUUGUUAAUAUUAUCCUGAUAAAGUAUCUAGCCAAUCUUUUUAUUAAGUUUUAAGAUAAACUUUAGAUACCACCCAUAUGGUUUCGUACCUUCUCACUUUAGUACCAUGUGGUUUUAUUUGAGUAGGGCUAGAAUACUUUUACAAGUAUCACCCAAGUGAUACUUGUGUGUUUUUAGCCAUUGGAUCUACUUUUUGAUUACUAAUAGUCCUUGGAUCAAACACUAUUCCACCUACCAUCACCUACCACCAUCAUCUCAACCUCACAUCUCUCCAUCCAAGGGCUAAAAACACACAAGUAUCACUUGGGUGAUACUUUUACAAGUAUUCUAGCUCUACUCGUUUUAUUUUUAUCUUUUCGUCAGUGUCUUCGUUAAUAUUUUAUUAAAUUAUAUAUAAAAAACUUCGGAUACUCUAUCUAGAUUUAUCGAAUAUUUACUUUGGUACCCUUUAGUUUUAACUUUGUCACUAAUUUAAUAAAAAAAAUUUAGUGAAAUCGAUAAUAAAAAGAUAAAAAUGAAACCAUAUGACACUAAGUUGAUACACUUUAAACCAUAAGAUACUAAAGUGAAAAAGUGUGAAACCACAGAAAUAGUAUUUAAAGUUUUUUCUUUUGUUAAUAAAAGGUAAGCUAGUAAUUUGGCGCAUUUUAAUUUCGUUAUCAUGUGAUUCAGAAGUUGCAUUUAAUUACUCUAAUAUUUUUAUCUCUAUUUUACCAUAAGAGUCCAUUGUUAAAUAAGACAGUAAAGUAAUAUUUUUUUAUUAACAUAUGAUGAAAUUACAGAAUAACUAAAUGUAAUUUUUUGAAUCACAAUAAAAUAUAGGAAAAUUAAAGUGUCCCACUAAAAUAAAAGGAAACUUUAUUAUAUUUGUAGAAUCAUCAUCAUCAUAAUUAAGCUUCUUAUUGGUCAAAGUAAAGAGAGAGACAAUUCAGGAACUGGAAAGUGUUGUAAUUCACUUCCAAGGAGACAUCCCCCUUGAAAAAGGCAAUUACAAUAAAUUACAAUAUUAUUAUUAUUAUUAUUAUUAUUAUUUUGUGGUUCUACAUUUUUUUAAAAAUUUUUUUUUAUCCCCAUUGCUUUGCUUUUGUUUUACUUAAGAAUGCUAAUUUUGCUCUCUACGAAAUGGGAGUUUGAAAAGUAUUAUUUUGACUUUUGGAUUAUCAAAUUUUCCCAAGGUUUAUUAAGGAAAAAAGUAUUGCACAAAUUUUGAUGCAAAAAGGGGGGCUUUUUUUUUUUUUCAUUUUUCGUGUAGUUGCUUGACUCUGGCUAGGGCCCUUAUUUGGAAAAAAAAAAAAAAAAAAAGUUAUGUUUUAUUUGUAAAUGAAAAAAUAGAAAAUAAAAAAAAUCUAUGAAAUUGACCAAAAACAAUUCAGAAAAUUACUUUUUAUGUAAACCAAAUGAAUGAAAAUUAUUUUUUAAUUAUUCCUUUCGACAGAUUAUGAGAAAUAAAUAAUGGAACGUAAAAAUUUAUUUCAACUAUGAAUUAUUUUUAGUUGAUUAUUCAUUUUUUUUCCUUAUUAAUUUAAUGUUUUAAUUUAUUUAAUUUGAGUUAGUUGAUGGUAUUUUGACUUUCAAAAUUUUUAUAUAUUUAACUAGUACACUUUAGCUUAAAUUUUAAAAUUUAAAUAUCAAUUUGAAAUAAUUCAUAAUUGAUAAAUUUUGUAUAUUUUUGCCGUAAAUUUUUAAAAUUGUACUCAGCCCUUUAACAUGGUAUUGGAAUUUUUUUUUUUUUUACCGUGACUUUUUAUUUUUUUGGGUAAACUUGAAAUAACACUCCUAUAGUUUCGUAGUAUCUCACUUUAGUAUUAUGUGGUUUAAAAUAUAUCAAUUUAGUACUCUGUGAUUUUAUUUUUUCUUUUCGUCAGUUCCUCUGUUAACUUCUCAUUAAAUCAUAUACAAAAAAAAUUCAGAUAUCCUACCUAUAUUUUAUCGAAUAUUUAUUUUAAUACUCUUUAAUUUUAACUUUAUCACUGAUUCAAUGAAAAAAAAUUAAUGAAGGGAUAACAAAAAGAGAAAAGUAAAAUCAAAUGUUACGAAAAUUAUACACUUUAAAUUACAGAAUACUAAAGUGAGAAAGUGAGAAACCACAUGGUGGUAUUUGAAAUUUUCCUUUUUUUUUUCGAUUUGGCUCAUUUAAUUUAAUUAAUUUAUUUGUUUUCCAAAUUUCUGAGGUUGUGCCACGUGCGGCAAAAUUUAGCACGUGGCAAAACGAACGUUUUCCCCGAAGCCCCUCGAAACCCCGCUCCGAGGAGGCGCAAUGCUUAAUUGCGAUUUAGGGUUUUGGAUGUGUUAUUGUUCUUCAUUGGGAUUAGGGUUUGCGAUCGGAAAGAGUGCGGAUUCCUCAGGCUUGUUGAUCCGAGGUAUGAAUUUUUGCUUACGAUGGUGGAAAAACCAAAAAAAAAAAAGGAUUUUGAUAGUGAUUGUUGAUGUUUUUUUUUUUUUUCCUUCUUUUUUUUUGCGCGCUUUUCAUCAUCGUCGUGAUCGUCGUGUGGUGUGUUCUUUGAUUCCUGAUAAAGCCGUCAUUGAAUAAAUGCGUCGAAAUCUCUCUCUCUAAAUUGCAUUUCUGAUUAUGUUAAAUUAUGUGAAACAAUCGUUGUUUGAAAUCAUGAAAUGAACUCAAAUCAAAUGAAAAUAAAUUAUGUUGUUUUUCGCUGAUAGAAUCUCCUGCUCUAAUAGGAUAUUAAAUAAUGCGAAACAAUCGUUAUACUCUAAAAAUUUAAGCCUAUAAUUUUAAUAUUUAACAGUUUAAUUUGAGUGCAUAGAGUAUUAAAGAUAAAUAUAGUGUGGCUACUGUAGAAGAUCAAAAUGUUGUUUUUUUCUCUGUGCGCAAAUAUUGUUGGUGUUCAUAUUUUGACACACAUCAUCACUGUACAACACAAAUUUAUCGGCAUGAGCAGUACAGGCAACAUGUGUUGGCUGUGCCAGAUUGUGCUGAGUGACACGACAAUCCUUGCUUUAGAAAAAUUAAAGAGAUGGUACUUUGAUGCGGCCGGUGUAAAACACUAAAUUCAUAUCAAAGAUGAGAUCUUUUGCGCCGCGGGUCGAGAUGAAAGUUUUAAUUUCGCCUUAAAGUGAUCACCUGUAUGUAUUCUUCUUCCAUUGAUCAAUGGAAUUGAUAUACAAGUAGCAUAUCUCGUCAGGUUCUGUUUACUUAAGGAGAAGAAGAGAAGAGAAAUUGGAAUGUGCUUGGUUGGUUGGUUGUGUCUGCAACAUAUCUGUAUUUGCUUUCUAAAUGAUUUGCGAGAACAAAAUAUACGCAUCAUUAGUUGUUCAGAUGAAGAACUAGCUUGGCAAUAUGCUGAAUGGUAAUUGAAGUUCCAGCUGUUCUGUAACAGGACAUACGAAUCGAUAAAUUACGCAUGAUUGCACUUUCUGUGUCUUUUUGCUGAUAUUGAUCGUUCUGCACCUCUGCCUCUAUUUACAAUAAUUCAAUUUUCAUUCAUGUGAACGGCACGAGUUAGAAGUAAAAACAAUGUAUCUGUUCUAUUACUGCCACUAUAUGUUUCGAACUUUGAAGUAGUUUCCUCUAGCAAAAACAACACUUCAUGCCACUCGGUUUAUUGAAUGGGAAAAAGGUUACACAUAUACUGUUAAAUGACUGCACAAAAGGGAAAACCAUUAACAAACUCAGCAUUUCUCGGGUUUUACGACUCAUAUCCAUGAUUCAAGGGUGUAGUUGUACUUGAAGGAGUUCACGCCGCUUAUAUGUGCCAGAAUAUCUGAGGAGUCCAGUAUACCUUCUUCUUCCUUCACUGCCACCUGAACGACACAACACUUUCUUAUUAGGGGCGAAUCAUACGCCUCACUAAAUGCAAACAUGGAUUAUAUUAAACUCUGUUGAAGAUUCACAAUGUAGGGAUACAUAUCAGUUAAGUAACUUAAUGGAGUUGAAUUUACUUUUGUAAUUUUUUGUGCUGCUUGUAAACUGUUUGAAGCUACUCUUUUCUUUUGAGUUUUCAACUUCUUCAGAAGGAUAUGACAAGAGCAGUUAUAGGACUUACUUCCUCUUCCUCAUCGAAUUCGUGAUUAUGGGAACUGGGCCUCGUUGUCUCGCAAAACUCAUCAUUCUUAGCAAAUCGCCCUCGCACGCGGGGACGGCUGUCGGCUAAAGUCUUUCUGCAAGCAUACUGCAUUUUCGUUUUCAAGAGCCAGUUAGAUGCCAUCUCUAAGCAUGAUAAAUAAUCAAAUCUAGUUGGAUUUGUUCUGUGCAUUGAUUACCUUGAUCUUUUUGCUGAAGUUCCUCUCAUUCCUCUUCUUCAUGUAUCUGUGGAUCUUCUCCUUUCUCUCUUCCACCGACAGGCGCCCGACUUUGAAGGUGGAAUCGUCCAAGCCCGAGAUCUCUGACGAAGGUGGUAAGGCCGCCGUCGAGCUUCCGCCGCACCCGCCCAUCAUAUGCUGGCCGCCCCCUCCAACAACCUAUGCAGUGAGUGAUGUUACAUAUGAUUAUGACAUAUUUGAUCGAGAUUGUGUUAGCUGUUCUGAAUUGAAAUCUUUCGAUUUAGGACAAUUUUUUGAAUUUGUUCAAUUUUCCGAUCUGAUGGUAUAUGUAUCAUGUUAUUAAGAUGCCUAAUUUUUCCCGGACAUUUGUACUUAGCUGCCAUUGUAACAUACCUGCAUGUCUCCUGAGCUAUACACCCUCUGCAUGUUAUCUUGACCUGCAUAGAUGCCCACCAUCCCUCCACACUCCAUCAUCCUUUGAUACUCUCCCACUUCCUCCACCAUCCCAUUACUAGUGCUGGUAGUAGCAGUAGUAAAAUACGCUUGGGCAUCUACUACGCCGCCGUUGGUUGCCAUCGGUCCCGGAUACAGCGCCGCCUCUAGACCCAUGUACCCUCCCACCAUCGCCGCUGCAAAGCACUCGUCGUCGAACCCUGUCGUCAGCGCUGACGCUGACGGUGGGCCCCCCAUUUGGAUCGGGAGCAUUGUGUCAUUUGAGUAGACGGCUGCGGCGGUGAUGGCGUCGUUGAGUGCUAUCUGGUUGUUGAACUGGUCCGGAUGGUGGAUGUCAAUGGUGGUGGUGGUAUAAGAGGGGGGACCCGCGAAUGGAAAGUGGAUAGAGGGGAGGAGUUCGGGCUCGGGGUCGGGAUGUUGCUCGGGGCUAAGGAGCGCGGAAAGAGUGGCAGAGUCGAGGGAGGGGAACGGGGAGAGUGCUGCGGCGGCGGCGGCAGCAGCAGAGGCCGAGGCAUCAUCGUCGUAGCAGCAAAGUGGAGUGGUGACGGAUGAUGACGAUACGUCGUCGGAAGAGCGAAGAAGUGGGUCAGAGACCGCGGCAGCGGCAGCGAAGAGGUCGCCGCCACUGCCGUCGUCGCAAAAGUCUAGGAUCUGGGCAGCAAUAGGGCUUGAGAUAUCCUCCUGCAGUUACAAAAUUCAUUAUAUUUCUUACGAAACAACAACGCAAUGAAAAUAUAGAUAUUAAGAUUCUUAUAAAAUGCAUCUAAAAUUUUUUUUUAGCUUAUUAUGCGUCUAAUGCAGCAAAAACUAGAGUUGAAUUUUGCAGUAGACAUUGACUUGUAGCUGCGUCUAAUGCAGCAAAAUUUUUUGAAUUUUGCAGUAGACAUUAACCAAUUAGAUUUUAAUUUUGGGAGAUAUAAUUAAGGCAAUGAUUUAGCAUAUUUUUUUACUUUGUCAUUGUAUCAUUUGAAAAGUAAUUUUUUUACUAUUCUAUGGUUUUAUUUUAUUUUAUCAUAAAAAGAAAUUGUUAAAUAUGUUAGCAAAAUAACAAUGGUCAUAUUUUCUAAAAACAUAAUAUUUACAAACCGUUGAGAUAGUGAAGUGAUAGAUCAUAGGUCAAUCUUAUGAUUUAUAGUGUACCACAUUGCUACCUUUUGGUUUGCAUAUUAUUAUUUUGUUAUUGACCUAAUAGUCGCUAUUCUUACAGUGAAAUAAAAUUAAACUAUGGAAUAAUAAAAAUAACACUUUUCAAACUAUACCAUGUCAAAAUAAAAAUAUACUAAAUCACAAAAAUCUAAUUAAAGUUAUUGCUGAAGUGGGUUACAGUUGGGAAUGCAAACAAGACCAAUUCGGAGCAGAAAGUUUCCCCGGACUUCUCAUCUUGUUUUCUUGGUGGGUAAGGCCAGACUCGUGACGAAUUAAUUUUUAUUCUAUUUUUAUCCUACUUUAUCACUUCAUUUGGGGUGUGAGCAAGAAUUUAAGUGCAGUGGCAUGGGGUCGUGCCGGAAAUUUACUGGCACGGUACGGUACGGUACGUAUCGGGCCGUGCCGAAGUGUGUCAGUUAUUAAAAAAAUUAUGUAUGCCAACAUAUAAUUUCAUGAAAUAUUUAUUUUUUUAGACAAAAAAAUGUUAUAAUUGUUUAUUAUCUAUUUUUAUCAAAUCUUUUAAACUUUAUUCAGAAAAUUACUUACAAAUUUUAAAAAUAGAAAAUUUUGAACUAUGUCAUGAGCACGGGAGUUGUAUCAUGCUGAUAUUUUGUUGCCAUGGUACUGCACGGUAGAUACAACCUGCGCCGAUGGGCACUUAAAUUCUUAGAUGUGAGUGAAUUUUUGAUGAAUUUUUGACGAAUCAAGAGUUUUUCGUCUUCCGCUCUAUUCUUUUAGUUGACCAGAAGAGAUUUGAAACAUUUUCUUUUUAUAACUUUUUAUUUUUAAUCUCCAUUUACCGCUUAUCGUUUUGUUCGAAACAGACUCAGAAAGAAGCUUGAUCAACUCAAAUCUAUUUGGAUCUCUAAUUAGACUUAAAAGUGAGCACCUAUACUUUGAUACGUGCCACAAAGCACAAAUAUUCCCCAAAUUUACCCGGGUCUUGUCUCAAGGAUAGGAUAAAAGGAUUUGGUGCCCCUUUUUUCUCCGUACCAUGGUUCGUAUAUUGUUAUUAUAUUAUAAUAAUAAUACUACUACUAUAUUGGUCUCCACGUGAAUAGAAGUGUUACCAAAGUGUCCCUUCCUCCUAUAUAUAUCAACUAAGAUUAAGAUUAAUUGUAUAAGAUAAUAAUAUUUUACUUUUUAUUUUUUCUCUUACUCUAAAAUAUAGAAUUAUAUUUUUGUGUAGCUGGUUAGAGUAACCAAAAAAGGAAAAGAAAAAAAAAACAACAUAAUAUGAGCCUGUUGAGAAGUUUAAUAUGUAGUGAUCACAAUCAAUCAUAAUUUUUCUUUUCAGAAAAAAAUGAAUAAAUUUUUUGUAAAAAAAUUAUGAUGGAAUGGAUAAAUUUCAAGAGAAUAAUUUGAUUAGUUGGAGGGACACCAUGUCAGUGACGUGACAGCUGUAUUUUUAGACAUUUUCGUUGACAAAAAAUGAUAAAGUUAGAGUUUCUGCUGCAUCGAAAGACAGAAUGAAAUUCUCAAUGUCGAAAAUAGAAACUUAAAUUUAAGGCUUAUGAUUUUGCUGUAAAAAUUUUGUUGGUAAUAUUCCAAUUAUGGUGCAUAAUUCUAGUUGGGAAGAGAAAAAUUAAUGUUGCCUUAAGAUAAUGCAUUCAAACUCCCAAGCAUGUAUGUAAUUGGUGAAGAAGCUUUGUUAAUUUGAUUAAGUAAACAAUAAAUGGGUAGGAAAAAGAAAAUGUACGUAGUUAAUUAACUUGCGAAUCGCUAUCGAUUCAAAAAUGUCGCUACAAAAAAAGAAAAGUCUAUAAUUCUGUGCAUGCAUGCAAAUUGAACGAAGAUUAAAAGAAGAAAAUGGAAAUGAAAAUGAAAAGCGAAAACAAGAAGAAAAAUUAUGGGUUAGGGAGAAUUACGUACGAUUAAGAGGCUCUCCGAUGGCGGUUGGAUAAGAUCCUCCAACAUUCUCUCCUCCGGAACAAGCUCCUUCGAAAAUGUAAUGAAUAAAUAGCAACAACAGCAACAAUUAAAAGAAAAAAGAAAAAAAAGAAAACAAAAAUUAUACACCCUCUCGCUCCAAAUAUCGAUCACUCAAAAUGAAUCCUUUCGAAUUAAAAUGAGAUAAAAAAAUCUACACAAAAAAUGGUGGUUUAGGAAUCAAAUGAUCUCUCUCUCUCUCUCUCUCUCUAAUCCACAGCGAAGAACAGCGUGGAAUAUUUAUAGAGAGAGAAUAACAGAGUCGAGAGAGUUACGCGGGGGAGAUAGAGAGUUGGCUUUACUAUUUAUGGACAAAUUUUCCCCGCACCCGGUUCAUCCGUACACGCAUGGACCACCAUAUAUCGGUUUUCUAUGUAAAAAAAAUGCGUAAAUUGCGGAUCCACGCCAUCAAAUUAUUAUAAGAUGCGUAAAACUUCGAUUCUCAAAUUUUAAUUUACUGUAAUUUUUUAGUUCACUUGUUGAAAAUUAAUCGCCUAAUCUCAUAUAAGAAUUUAUAACGUUGGAGCUAAAAAUUAUAAUAUAUAUUUAUAAUUUAAGGAAUAAAAGUGUUAUUUAGCCAUUUAAAAAUUUACCUACCACCGUUUUGAAUUGAGUUUGACUAAAAACGUUCUAAAUAAAUAAAGAUGAGGGUGCAAUUCUCAAAUUAGCUAUAGUUGAGGGGCUUCGGAGACAUUUCUACGGUAGACGUACGGUGCAGGUACGUAGGCGGUGCACCGUGCUCAGGUAGAAUACGUACGGGGUCGGUCCGUUAGAGGACGAGAUAACGGACGUUAGCGUACGAGCCAGACAAGGGGCGGGAAAGGCGGAUGUUUUUUGGGCCGUUUGGGUUCCGUACGGUGUGACGGUCACGCCGUCAAAUCCGUUCGGGGCUCCGACCCGGUCGGGAGUCCCCCCCCGCGACCCGGCCACCCCGUAACCUCGGGGUGGGGCCCACGCUACGCGAGCACCUCGACACGUGGCGCUUCCUCGUUGGCUCUGCGAUUUUUGGCCCCAGAAGAUAAAAGGAAAAAAUUAAAAGAAAAAAAUCCCGGUGUCUGCUCCGGUUUGGCGAUGGCGCCUCCGAUGGGUCCCACACGAGCGCCACGUCAGCAUGAUUAGAUAAAAUAGCAUAGUAGUACCUUGACAUUUGUCAAUUUUCAUUUUAGUCCUUAAAUUUUCUCAUGCUUUACCCUAUCCUUUGCAUAUUUGUCGGCUCUGUGUCCGCAUCUUAUUUUAAAGAUAAAAAUAUAUAGAACUUAUAGUCAGAGCUAUAGUUCAUUUUGAUUUGAUGAUUCUUAUAGUAAAAAAAAAAAAAAAAACUUAGGUUCGUCGCUUAUUUUAAUAAACUUAUAGCAGUAUAAAUUAUACAAAAUAUGCUAAUAAAAUCUGUAAAGAUAAACGAUGUGAGAUUAUGAGCUGAUAAAAUAAUACCGAAACACUUUUAAGAGUUUGUGAUUUGGAAUGCGAAACUUAAAAGAGUCGAGGAUUAAACUAAAACUUAGUCAAAGGUUUAAGAUUAGUAUAUGUGUCAUAAUUAGGGCAAAUGAGGAAGUGCAAGGAGUUGACUUUAGCUGGAAUUUUGAAUCCAUGUUUAAAAAGGUGUUAAUUAGUUUCUUACUAGAUUUAGUUACAACAAACCAGGGCUAAUAAGUUAAUUAAGUGCUAUAAAUAAAUAAAUAAAUAGAGGGGACAUGGUGACUAAUUUUGAGCUUCAUGAGUUUUACUAUAAAAUGAUAGUGUGGGUUUGCUUUAAUUGGGUGUUUAGUAAUAAUUAGUUAAUGCUAUUACGCGAAGAGCAGUGUUUCUGGUUCCCCCGGAAAUUAAGUCCCCCAACUCCCAAGUGCAGUUUGAUGACUCAAAUUUGAAUGUAGCAAAAGAGUUAACAGUUUCUCACUGUAAAAAAAGUAGAAACUAUGUUAAUUUUUUGCGAACCAUUCUAGUGUUGGGUUAUGUAAAAUCAUGUUCCGAGUCGAUAUGCAGAGUUUAAGUCUGAUUAGAUCUAAUCUUAUUUCAAAAAAUUAGACUUUAAAGAGUAUUUCUAAAAGGAUAUUGAUGACUGCACGUAAAUCUGACUUGGAUGGAAGGCGAAAAUUAUUUUCUACUAGAAUUAAAAUUUUAGGGUUAUAUAAACUCUUAUAAUUAAUCUUUUAAAUAAUGAGCUUCAUUGAAAAUACCCUAUUUGAGAGGAAAAUGUGAAGAGCUCCUGAGAGAGAAUUUCUUACAAUCCAAUCUACUCCUUUGUAUUUUUAUGCCAUGAAUUAAUCGAACAAACAAUUGAGGUGGUCUUGCUCAUGGACGUAGGUCGACUUAUGGUUGUAAAUCUUAUGUUUUUUGUGUUCUCUUUUUUUUUUAUUGCUUUGUUAUCCUCGUACUUAUUUUUUCUACGAUCAUUCUUGUUUCUUACGUCUACGAAAUAUUCUAUUUUUUCUGUACUCGUGUGCUGUAUGAGUUUGAGGCGUGCUCUGUAAUCUCACAACCAGUUCCUUCAUCUAGUACUACUUUUUUGAAUAAAAAAGAUAUUAUAAAAGUGAUGACAAAAGAAGCACUUUUAGAACUUUUUUUUAAAUUUUUUUUUCUAUUUUCUUAAAGCAGUUGUGAAGCUUAAAAUAAAAAAAAAUGCUAAGCUGCGUGAUCAUGACAACAGCAAGGUGCUAAACCAAAAUAAAUUAUUAUUCUCUAAUAAUUAAUUCAUAGUAAUAAUAAUAAUAAAACGUGUAUUAAUUCUCAAAGACAACCUUAAUUAGUGACAGAGACAAGUUAAGAUGGAAUAGAAUCUGGUCGGCCUCGUUCGUAGGACUAUUUCAUGUCGUCCGUACGGGGAAUCAAGUCAACUUUUUUUUUUUUUUUUUUUAGGUGGAAAAAAAUUUGCGAUAUUUUGUCUAAAUUGCGCCAUAUUUUUACGUAAUAUUUUGAGUUUAGAAGUUUCCAUUUGGUACUUAGCAUAUUAUUUUUAAAAAAAAUUUACUUUGUUAGUUUAUAAAAUAUUUUAGCAUUUAAAAAGAAAUACUUUGUUAGUAUAUAAGGGUUAAAUACCAAAAUCAAGAUUUUGAAAGUUUCUUUUUCUAUUUCAAAAUACUCAAACUUUGUACACUUUUUAUCAUUCUUUUAAAUCUAUGGUAUUUGAAUCGAGAGUGUUAAUCAAUUAUUUUAAAAUUACGUGUUGAUAGAAAUAACACAUCCAUCGAAUUUAAGAACUCAACCACAUAACUCACGGGCAUUGACUUGAUUCAGUCCACUUGAACCUUAGGUCUAUUGUUGUGUCUCUUAGCGUUGGAUCUGUUAUAGACCGCAACUCCAUUUAACUUAUUAUUUUUUUGGAUGUAUUGUCACGUGGCAGAAAAUCGAACCUAUUUUAGUCAAUAGUAAAUAACCAACACAGUUUAUCAGUAAUACGAAUAAUUUUCACUAUAGAGUUAGAAGUUGCAACGAUUUUUACAAUAUGAGAGAGCGAGCUAGUAUGUUUCAGUAACUAAUACACAAAUAUCGCAAGGGUUACAAUAAAGCAAACUAAUUCCAAAACCUAGAUCAAAAUUUGACCACAUGAUGAUCUAGUUUCCAAGGCAAAACAACUUAACAAAAGUUGAUACCUCAACACUAAAAAAAAACCUUUUCCUUUUGACUCUAUUAUUAUGAAGCCUUGAACCCUAAGCUAGGAGGACAAAGUGUGGAGUUCAAAAACAAGGUUAUAUACCCACCAAAAUGGAACUAAUGCCCAUCAAUCCCUUACAAAGGCCUAAAAACACUGUCCCAAAGCUGUUUUUUGUCCAACUCCACAAAUUUUAGAUCCCCCCUAUAGCCCUAGACCCCCAAUCAAUGCCAAUUCCCUAUUGACUAAGGGCCAUGUGAGUGCACCUCCCAAAGCAAGGGUUAAAAAAAAAAAAAAAAAAAAAAACCCAAGUGGUGGUGUGCUUUGCCACCCCUUUAGACCUCCAUUAGAAUCCAUGCUCUCCCCUCUAAUUUUAGCUCACAACUACAUAUAAUGCAUGGCUUGUCCCUCCACUAUUCCUAUUUGGCACUCUCUAUGUUUUCAAUCUAAAUAUUUUAGUUUCUGAAUUUUCACAUGCACUGUACUUUAAUCUCCGAUCAUCGUUUAAAAAUAUACGGAGAUCUCAUCAACUACAGAUUAAGUUUCUCGAUUUCAGUUCCUAGGCUCCGAUAAGUUUAAAAAGUCAAACUUAAUGACUGUAUUAAUUAAUUACUAAUUGUUAGCCGAUCUAGUUUUAUCUGCUAAAAAGUAAUUAAAGUUAAGGAAAAACUUCAAAUACCAUCUUUGUGGUUUCACACUUACUCACUUUAAUACCAUAUGGUUUAAAAUGUAUCAAUUUAAUAUCCUGAUGUUCCAUUUUUAUUUUUUUUUUAUCGAUAUCACUAAUUUUUUUUGUUAAAUCAGUGACAAAGUUAAAACUAAAAGGUACUAAAGUGAAUAUUCGAUAAGCCUAGGUGGAAUAUCAAAAAUUUUUUUUAUAUAAUUUAACGAAAUAUUAACGAAAAAGCUGACGAAAAGAUAAAAAUGAAACCACAUGACACUAACUUGAUAUAUUUUAAACCACGGGGUACUAAAGUGAGAAAGCGCGAAAAUACAGGGGUGGUAUUUGAAGUUUACCCUAAGGGUGCGUUUGGUUCGCGCUAUCUUUUAAAGAUUUCUAAUAAUUCAAUGGGAAUAAAAAAAUAUGACGGUGUUUUGUUAAACGCAUAGUUGGUAAUAUCGGAUUCAUUUGGGAAUAAGAUUCACCCCAAAGUACUAAUCUCAUUCCUUUGAGGGAGGAUGUGUAUCCUCAUAUUAAUGGAUUAGGGUAAUCAUAAUAUGUCUAAUCUUUUUCUUUCUUCCUAUCCGCCGGCUAAUUGAUAUUAUUUUUUUUUACACUCUAACCUUAUAUCUCUCUCUAAACUUAUUUUUCUCUCUCUAAACUAAGCUUUCUCUCUCUCUCUUUCUAAAAUUUCAACUCUUUCACUCCCUCUAAUUUCGACUAUAUUUUUCUUUCUAUUUUUUUAAUUAUGCUCUCUCUCUAACUUAUACUCUCUUUCUCUUUUUUCUAAAAAGAUGUUGACAUUUUUGGUAAUAUUAUCUAAAAUUAAUUAAUUAAAUAAAUAAAUUAAUUGUAUAUUUUUUGUAAUAUUAAAUAACAUGGUUAAUUAAUAUUACCGUACGAACCAAACACAGAAAUUCCACAUUCUUAGUAAUAGGAUGAAUAUGAAUAAGAUUCUCGAAUAUCUUUUAUUCCUAGUAAUCUUUCAUAAUGCGAACCAAACGCACCCUAAAGUUAAUAAAAUUAGUAAAAUUAAAUCAAAAGGAAGUUGAGGGAACAUGCAUGAGUCCCUCUCUCUCCACUUGCUGCUGAAUGUGACAUGCACACCAUUGUCUUGGCCAAAAACUGCCCUGAUUCCCCUUCCAGAGAAUGAGGGCACCUUCACCAGAUAAGGAAAUAAACCUGAUCUAAAUCAUCACCCAUGGAUAGUGUUGGUCCUCUCAGGGACACCAAAUCUAACACCCCCACCCUGUGCCUUUGAACCUCGGAUCGCGUUCCAAUCGUGCGCGCCGGACAUAUUCCGAUUGCUCGACGGGACUCGAGGUCCCUUCCCUCCCCCCAUCUCCGCGAAUUUAUCGGGUCCCCCGUGGCACAUGUCGCUAUAACGUUCGAUACCGAGGCGCACACAAUAAUAGGUGUGCUUGUAAAGUUACUUGCCUUCUAAAGUUCUGAAGAAUACUCAGAUUGCGAAAUUCAAAUUCUAUAUGGUGGGAUUUAGCUUCUCGUGUGAAUUUGAAUGCUGAUAUGUCGGCAAAUAGUUAUUUAAGGAAAUGGCUCAAAAAACAGAUGAAAGAUAACGAAAAUUGUGUAAUCCAAUCCAGGCCAAUCUACUAGAAUCGAGUGUCAAAUCAAUUUGUCCAAAGUGUUAAGACACUAGUAGUGAAAAAAAUCUUCUUUGUCGGAGAUAGUUUAUAUAAGAAUAAAAGUAUUUUAAUCUGUAUAAAUAUGUAAGAAUAUAUGUUUUAUAUAUUAUUCUAAUUUAGAGUUACUAUAUUAUUUUUAACUGAACCUUAUUUUUUUAAUCUCAGAGAGUUUAUUAGGACUGAUCAAAUGUAAUGUGAUAAUUUGCGAAAGAUCUACAAAGACUCCGUUGAAUCACUAGGUUCUCCAAAAACAUCGGUGCGAGAUGAUAGUAAUUAUAUAUAGAGUCCAGGUAUGAUACUUUUAAAAGUGCGUAGGUCUCUGUGUUUUCAAGUUAUUUUUUAUUAUGUAAUUUUUGAAUCGGCGAUCGAGUCGGUUAGACUUGCUGUAGAGUAUUUGAAGUAUUUAGAAAGCAAAUUUCGUGACUUUUCAAUAUCAUUUACCUAAUAAUCGAAAUGGCUCAAGAUUAAUAAUUUUAAUGGUCGAUAUAACUCGUUUGCAAAUUUAACAGCAUAUAAAUAUCAAAAUUCAGUAAAAAUAUUGUACCAGAAAAUUUUCUAUAUUAUCUAAAACAAGAUAAACAUGUUCGAUUUAAACUUUUAACACUGUGUCACCGCUACCGUGAAAUUUUAAUACUCAUUCAUUAAUUUUGAGUCAUUUCGAUUAUUAGUAAAUGAUAUUAAAAAUAUCAUAAAAUUUAUUUUUUUUAAUACUUUAAAAAUUUCUAUACCAAAUCUAACCAAAUCGAUCGUUGAUUUGUACAUCACAUCAUCAAACAUAAUUUGAAAGUACCAAGUCCUGUACUAUUCAAAAAGCACUCCAGGUCAGCUCUUAUUUAUUAUUUAUAUGUAUACGCACACGAGCUAGGCUGAUAUACUAUCAAUAAUACGGAGGUUUCCGUGCUACCAAGUUGUUUUCAAUGAUACGACUUUCAAAUCGACGAUUCGCCCUGUUAGAUUUGAUUUACACUAUUAAAAGUAUUUGAAAACUAAAUUUCAUACUUUUUCGACAUCAUUUGGCUAAUGAUCAAAAGAUCUCAAAAUUGACAAUUUUAAUGGUAAAUUUGAUGCGUUUGUUAAUUUAACGGUGUAAAAUAAUUCAAAUUUGAUAAAAUUUUUCUAGACAUUUUAUUUUACUAUUUAGAGUAAGAUCAGUAUCUCUGAUCUUAAAUUUAAGUUUUUUAUCAUCAUUUUUUAUGAAAUUUUUAUUUUCAGCCAUUCAUUUUUAGACUACUCGUUUGAUAGGUAAAUGAUGCCAAAAAAUUAUGAAAUUUAGUUUCCAAAAACUUUCAAUAAUAUAGAUCAAGUCUAACGGAGCCGAUCGUCGAUUUGAAAGCUGCAUUAUUAAAAAUAACUUGGCCUCCGUGCUACGGAUAGUAUACCAGCCUAGCUCUACGCACACAAUGGAGAUAUUUUAUGAGCCCAAAAUGUUCGAAUCCUUUGACAAGAUAACAUGGCUUGGUUCAGCCCUCCUAAAUUUGGAUCUGUCCGAUUGCUAUUGCUGCAUGUUGAAUGAUAUCUAAGAAGAUUGCUGCAUGUUGAAUGAUAAGAUUCUUGUUUGUUUUGCGCUGGUCAUGCAGAUCUUGGCCCCGCGAGCUGCAUCGCAGAACUUUUUUUAGAAAAAAGAAAUUUUUUUUAGAGGUCGAGCGUUGCAAACGCAGGCGUAGCCAUAAGGCAGAACAAACACUUAACACUAGGACAGCUCGAUGUUCAUGAGUUAGCUUAUGUUCGGCUCAAAAUGAGCUCAAGAUCGAUUGCUUGUUUAAUAAACGAGCCGAACAUAAGCUGCUUUAUAUAUAUAUAUAUAUAUAUAUCUAAAUCUUAAUGAAGUGAACACGAACAGGAGGUCAGCCUGCUUGUGUUCGGCUCGUUAUCGCUCGAUUACAUGUAUAUUAUAAAUUUCUAUGUUUUGAAUUUUAGGUCUAACCUAAAUGUAAAAAGAUUUAUAUUUUGCGAAUUUCAAUUAUUAUAUUAAGAUUCUACUAUAUAUAUAUAUAUAUAUAUGAGUCCGGCUAUGGUGCUUGUAAAAGUAUCAAGCAUUUGGUGUUUGUAAAUUUUUUAUCGUUAGAUCUAUAUCUUUGAUUAUUUUCAACCGUUAGAUCAUACUAUUCAACCAACCACUCACUCAACCCUAAGGGGCUCACAUCAUCCUAACCGCACAUUCCUUGAUCUAAUGGCCAAAAAGCUACAAGCACCAAUAACUUAUAUUAUAUAUAUAUAUAUAUAAUAUAUUUAUAUAUAUAUAUAUAUUAUAUAUAUAAUAUUAUAGUCCGCUUACUUUACUAUUAUGAGUAUGAUCGCCCUCGUACUCAUAAGUUGUUUUCGAUGAUAGAGCUUCCGAAUCGACAAUCCACACCGUUAAACGUAUUUAUAGUAUUUAAAACUUCUAAAAAAAAAUUAUAAUUUUUCAACAUCAUUUACCUACGAUCAAAGAGGGGGGGUGGCCAACAAAUUUGACAAUUUUUAACGGCCGGUAUGGAAUACUUGAUAGUUUAACGGUGUAAAAAAUCGGAAUUUAUUGAAUUUUUGAUAGAAAAUUCUAUUCACUACAUAGAUAAAAAUCAAUAACUCCAAUCUUGAAUUGAAGGAUCCGAUCAUCCUUUUUUAGAGUGUCGUUCGAUUUUGACCAUUCAUUUUAUGCCCACUUGAUGGACUUUAUUAUGAUUUCGAAAAUUUACGAAAUUUAUUUUCUAGAAGUUUCAAAUACUCUAGAUCAUAUUUAACGGAGUGGAUCGUCAAUUCGGAAGCUUCAUCAUUGAAAACAACUUAUGAGUACGAGGGCUCCAAUACUGAAAUAGUAUAGUAGCCAUAGCCUUAAACCCGGCAAUCUUGACCCAAAUCCACGGGUACCCGCGAAUUACCCACAAAUUUACGGGUAUGAGUAUCAACUUUUUCAACCCAAAAAAUUACGGGUAAGACGGAUGGGUACCCAUUAAGCAGUGGGCAUUUUGGGUAACCCGCGGGUACCCACGAAUACUCGCACAUAUAUUUUUUAAUUACAAAAUAUAUUUUUUUAAUUAAUAUAUACUUUUUAUUUAUCCAUUAUAAAAACUCUAAUACAAAUUCUUAUUGCUUGUUUUUUUAUAUUAUGAAAUAUUUUUACUUUUUAAAACUUUAAAUAUUUUUAUUGUAUGUUAUGAUAUUUUAAAUAAUGAGGUUAUAUUACGCUUUUUAAACUUAUAUAGAUGUGUUUUGCAUUUAAAAAAUAUAAGAGCAAAAAAAAAAAUUGCGGAUAACCCAUAUACCCACCCGCCCACCCGUCGGCGGGUAUGGGUAAAGAUGUUGCCUACCAAAAAUUUACAGGUAAAUUUUAUCCAUGCCCAAGUAACCCGCGAGUACAAUAACCCGCCCACGGGUUAUCCAACUCGCCCGUUUACCAAGUCUACAUGGCCUAUAUAUAUAUAUAUAUAUAUAGAGAGAGAGAGAGAGAGAGAGAGAGCAGGGCUGCUGUGCUCUCAGUAGCAUGGAGGCCUCCAUGCUCCUGAGCCAUUUUCAAUGAUGGAGUUUCCGAAUCGACGAUCGGCUCCGUUAAACUUGAUCUAGCGUAUUUGAAGUUUCUAGAAAAUAAUUUUUGCGAUUUUUCAAUAUCAUUUACCUAACAAUCGAAAUGAUUCAAAAUCAAUAAUUUUUAACAGCUGAAAAUAAAAAUUCUAUAAAAAGUGGUGAUAUAGCACUAAAAUUUUCGAUCAGAAAUAUUGAUUUUGUUGUAGAUAGUAUAAAGAAUUUUGUAUCAAAAUUUCAUCUGAUUUGAAUACUUCUAUACCGUUAAAUUUGAAAACGGUAGAUAUCAACCAUUAAAAAUUAUGAAUUUUGAAUCCUUUCGAUCACUGGGCAAAUGAUGUCAAAAAAUCGCAAAAAUUAUUUUCUAGAAAUGUCAAAUGCGCUAGAUCAAGUCUAACGGAUGCCGAUCGUCGAUUCGAAAAAUUCAUCAUCGAAAACGGCUCAGGAGCACGGAGGCCUCCGUGCUCCUGAGAGCACAGCAGCCCUGCAUUAUAUAUAGUAUAUAAUAUAUAGUAAUAUAUAUAUAUAUAUAUAUAACUUUUCAUCAAGUGGUAGGACCGACAAUCUAACAAACUGUUUGUGAGCCAGCUUGUAUUCGACUCGUUAAUAAACAAGCUAAGCACAAACUAAUUUUUUUCAGCUCAAUAUUUUAACAAGUCAGCUUAUGUUUGACUUGUCUAAUAAACAAGCAAACAUGAGCAGGUCCAGCUCGUUCGUGUUCGUCGCUCGAGUUCGGCUCGUUGAUAGCCCUACUUAAUACCUCACUCUAAAGUUCUUUUACUCACAGCAGAGGCCAACAAAACGUUGGGCCAAACAGGCCUUCAAAAGUCAACAUCAGGUUCAAAAAUACUAGUCCUUUUCUUUCCCCAUGUAUUGGAAUUACAAAUUUGAGCUAAAAUUUACAAAUGAAUUAUUAUUCUCAUAAUUAAUUUCAGAUUGAUUCUGAUCAUAAUGUCACAACAUUUUUUUCUAAAUUAUUUUUUCUCGUACUAGCAAGUUCAAAUUUAUUUCAACGAGAAAUAUAAAAAACACUCUCAAACGGUUGAAAAUUACAUACUAUUUGGUAAUAAUCAGAUCUUAUGUAACGACCCAGCCCACUAACAAUAAUAAUUCGUUGGGCCUAGCCAACCGCCCAAAAUACUUAAGCCCAGUUAGACUCCCCCCGUUAAGGCCCUGACGUCCUCGUCAGUCCAAUCACACACAGCCCAAGAUCACCAGGCGAUGGAUGUGAGACUCGUCUCGCUAGCCCGUCAUCCAGAUCCUGACUCAGACGAGACUAGCCACACAUAUCCAGCUGGUGAACCGGCUCUGAUGCCAAAUGUAACGACCCAGCCCACUAGCAAUAAUAACUCGUUGGGCCUAGCCAACCGCUCAAAAUACUUAAGCCCAGUUAUUAUUACUAAUGUCUAAGUCUCUUAUAAACCCAAUGAUAAUUUCAUUCUCAUCCGAUAUGGGGGGUGCCACAUUUUAUGUAUAUAUAAUAAUAAUAAUAAUAAUAGCAAUUAAUCCUAUUAUUAGGAAAUAUCUUAAAUAAAAAAUUAUGGAAUACCAAAUUUUUAUUUAAUUAUUUAUUUAUUCUAUGGAGAGGAGUGUUCAAAAAAGCACCUAAAGUAUAGUCACUUUUGAAGCUUAUUUUUUCUAAUUCAGACCCCUCAAUUUUUUUUUUUCAAUUUGAGUUAUAGAUAAGCGUAAACUAACGAUUCCAUUAGCUAUUUGAAGGAAUUUAAUAAUUCUAUCACAAAAUUAUCAUUAGAUUGAAUAAAAAUUUUAAUUUAAUUAAAAAAAAAGAAAUUAUAUGCGUAAAAUAUUGACUGAGCGUUUGAAAAACAAAAUAGUAAAUAAAUAUAAAUAAAUAUAUUAACAUUACUAGUUGAACGUGCAUUACUUUUUCUUUUAAAAAAAUAAGCGAUUUUAUCGUAAAUAGAAUAUACGCAGGGAUCAGGGAUGCAAUUGAAAAUUAAAAAGUAGAAAGGACUAAUCUGAAUAAAAAUAUCCUACAUAAUAAACCCUAGACGGUAAAACCUUUCUUUCUCUCUCUCUCUUCCCAAUCUCUCUCCCGCUUCCUCUCGCGCCGAAGGAGGCGAAGCCCGGAAACCCUAGCUCGAGAUCGCCAUGAUUUGCGCGAGUAAGCUCCUCCCUCCUCUGUCUCCCCUCUCUCCUCCUCUCCGGAACCCUAUCUCUCGAUCUUUUCUCACUCCCCCUCCUCUCCUCUGUCGUAGUCUCCGGCGAGGUGCCGGAGGAGCCGGUUAUCUCGAAGAAGUCGGGGCUCGUCUUCGAGAGGCGGCUGAUCGAGCGGCACAUCGAGGUUUCAUCUCCUCUCGCCCUUUCCCCCACUUUUGGUUCGGAAAUCUAGGGUUUCUGAUGGGCGUUUCUUGUGCCCUACUUUAUAUCGCCUUCUUCUUGAAGUAAUUGUGUGCUUCUUGAUAAAUUUGUGCUUUUCUCUACGCCUUGGUGGUUUUAGGACUAUGGGAAGUGCCCCGUUACGAAGGAGGAGCUCACGAUGGACGAUAUCUUGCCGGUGAAAACGAAUAAGGUGGAAUGCAUGUCUUUUAUAUAUAGGAAUGGUUAUUGUACUAGCUAGAACAUGAAAAGGAACUUCUUGUUUAUGCUAAUUAUGAUGAGUUUGAAAUAUGCGAGUUUUAUUGUUGCGGAAAAUGGUGCCCGAAUUAGGUUGGUGAAGAUUAUAACUUGGCUUAUUUUCUUGAAAUAAUUUACUUCUUCUAUUGCCACCUCUUAGCAACACAGUUAGUAUAGUUGUGGUGUGGUGGAAAACUACAACUUUGUAGUUAAGGUUAAAUUUAAUGGAGGAGAAAUAAUUACCUAGUAAUUAGGACCAGUGGCAUUUGUUCAAGAAGGCCAGGAAUAUACCUUAAAUUGUAGUGUUGGUGGAAAUGACGAUGAUUGAAACGGACAAAUUUCAAGGGUUAAAUGGACAGUAUUCUUUGCCAACUUUCUUGAUGCUUGACUCAGUGCAUGAGUGUAUCAUCAUAAUUUUGUUACAUGUCGCAUCUUUCUCAUUUGGACAGAGAUGCCCACUUUUCCUUUCGACGAGAAGGAUUUAAACUUGCCAUAAUAUCUUUACACUGUACCACUGAUAGUUUGCUUUCCUGAUUCAUGUAGUUUAUCAUUAAAUUCAUCUAAUUUAGGCCUAUGCCUGCUGAUAUUAUUGGCCAUUUUAUCUGUCAACCAAGUCCUUUAGUUAAUGUUUUAGCAAAAAUAAACAUGUCAGGGUACAUAUCUUGACUAACAGAAGGUUUAUUGAAGUAAGAAUUGAAAUGCCUGACAGCAGUGGGGUGCUUGAUUAAUAUAGGUGUGCAUUACUGUAUUACGAAUUUUAAAUAUUUGAAGAGUGUUAAACACUUGUCCUUAUCCUUAUCCCUAAGACUUUGAGGUUGAAUAUGUACUGAAGUUGGAACUCAGAAUCUCUUUGUUGAUUUCUAGGAUAGUGGAAACAAACAUACUUUUUUCAUUGAACCGUGCUGCAAAGAGUUAGUGUUGCAUAUAAAACUCAUAGUGUGUUUUCUCUGUGUAGGUGGUGAAACCCAGACCAUUACAGGCUGCAAGCAUCCCGGGUCUACUUGGAAUGUUUCAAAAUGUAGGCAUCUUUAAGCUCUUUUUUUGCUAGUUUAUUCAUCAGAAAAAUGAUCCUAUUGUUUUUCACUUAAUUUCAACUUGUUUUGCUAUCUGCUCAUUGAUUUUCACAUUUGUAUCACUUGAGAUAUUUCUCAUUUCUUCCAUUCUUUGCAGGAGUGGGAUGCUCUCAUGCUGUCUAAUUUCGCAUUGGAGCAGCAAUUGCAUACGGCAAGGCAGGAACUUAGCCAUGCUUUAUACCAGGUAUUUGUCAAAUUUUUUCUGUAGUUCUUGAACAUGAUUCCAAAUUUCAACCGUUUGUUAAAUCUGUAUGGUGCCAACUGGUAAUUAUUAUUUUGGGAUGUUAGUUCAGCCCUUUCCUAUUUUUUGCCUGCUAGCAUUGGAUACCUGAGAAACUAAGAUGUAUUUCCCUGAUCUGAUAGGCUCAUUUGUAAAAUUUCUUUCUUUUCCAUUCUUAUUCUGUAUGAUUCUGUCAUUUUUUUAAUAGCACACUAGCAAUCACGAGCAUCUAGCAGGCUUGUAAUGUAUUGCAAGUUGUCGAUGAUUGUCCUGGGAUUGAUUUCCUUUAGAUAAAAGCAAAUAUUUUUUGUCUACUUUCUCGGCUUCUUUGGACCUUUCUCUGUUUGGUGGAUUCGACUGUAAUUAUUAGAUAGUCCAUUUUAUUAUAUGUAUUGCCCAUGAAUUCAGGCUUUAUUUGUUACUUCUGAAAUUUGUAUGAUUAUCUUUGAGUGUAUUGACAUUAGCUUCCCCAACUUCCCUACUACUUUGCGGAGGAACAGAUGAGCCUCAUUUAAAUGGUCUUGUGGAUACAGUAAAAGAAGUUUUGCUUAAGGUUCAUGAAUGUCCUCAAUUACAUAUGAGAGAUAUUUGAUGAUUGCUUAUUAUAGUAGUUUUAUUUAUUGUAUUGUGAAGAAGUACCUCAGAUAAUUAUUGCUACAUUAAAUAGUUAUACUGUUUUCCAGCAUGAUGCCGCAUGCCGUGUCAUAGCAAGAUUGAAGAAGGAAAGGGAUGAGGCCAGACUGCUGUUGACUCAGGCUGAGAGGCAGAUUGCUUAUCCAACAGCUUCUGAUGCAGCUGCUAAUGCCAGUGCUCUUGCCAAUGGAAAAAGAGGUUCCUACUUUUUGAAGCAGUUUAACCAAACUUUUCAAUGAUACAAUAAUUUGGAUUUAGUUUCUCAAGUUUUUCCCCUUUUUUUUGUUUUUUCCCUUUUGUAUUUGCAGCUGCUCAAGAUGAAUUGGGUCCUGAUGGGAAGAAGAUUCGUCCUGGUAUUAAUCCUGUUAUGAUUGCUGAACUUACAGAGUGUAACGCUGUCCUCUCAGGGCAACGCAAGAAGCGGCAGGUACUUGAUCUAUUACCCAUGUAUUUCACUGCAGAUGAAGUUAAGGGCUCUUACUUUCAUUAAUAGCUGGUUUAUAUUAGAAUUAAAUGUAGCAAAGAUAGCGACAUGCUUACUGUUUAUGCUAAGAAACUCAAUUAAAAUAUAGGUCGAGUCUUGUGACUAAUCAUAUUUUGUGUUAUAACUUGACAUUUAGUGCAUGAAUGUCAGGCUUUUCGACCUCUCUACUUCAGUAAGCAAAAGUCCUUAGAAAUAAGCAAACAAAUAGUUUGGAAGGUAAAAUCUGUUUUUUGGCCACAAGAGUGUCUUCAACUUGAAGCUUUUGCUAAUGCUAGAUUGUGAAGUGUUAGAGAGCAGAUUUUAAUAAAGGCUAUUAGUGCUGCUUCGAACGGCUCUAUGAAGACUGACUUUUGCAGAGCUCCAACCGGGUCAAAUAGGCCCUUUUAAAAUCAUAAUUUGGGAAAAGAUGAGGAAGGAUACACAUACAAAAUCUCUUCUUUGAGCCCUUGGUCUCAUAGGCCAGCAGACUUCAUUAGACAUCUCCAAAAUCUUAGUCGGUUAGCUACAGGUGCACUGCAUGUUCAGAAGUCUAGUGGUAACUUUUGUUUUUGGUGGCAGUAGUCUGACCUAGUAUAUACUGCUAGUGAAUUAGUGUGACCACACUUUUUGUAACUGAUCAGUAGUGGUGAGCAUCAUUCUGUUCUGUUCGGUCUUUGACCCUUUUUCCCCCCCUAAGGGCUUGUUUGCUUGCCCCUUUGUGAUUUUCAGUUGAAAAUGGCUUUCAAUUAAACUGAAGUUCAUGUGAUUUUUUUUUUCCUCAGCUAUUUUGUUUGAUAGGAAGGCAAUGGCUUUGGAUUAUGUCACUUUUUUUAUUUAUUUUACUCAUAUUGAAUCAGAUAAACCAAAUUGACUCAGCUCGGUUUGGUAAUAGUUUAAACUGGAUAGUGCUCACCCCUAACUGUGAGGGUAUAAUAUGAUAGAUUAUAUGUUUAUUUACAUUGUCAUGACACGAUGCUUUUUUUUGCCACUUUGCUAUAGAUCCCACCAACAUUAGCACCCAUUGAUGCAAUUGAGAGAUAUACUCAGAUCUCUAGUCAUCCCCUUCACAAGACUAACAAGCCAGGCAUUUUAUCUGUGGAUAUCCAUCCUUUAAAGGUUUGUACACUUGAAAAUUACUGUUAUAUAUAUAUUUCCCCCCCUGCUUUUUAAUCUAUACUUUAUCCUUAUGAAUGAAACAGAAAAAUUAUGAUGCACCUAUACAUGCGCUAAGACAUGUUUUCUAGAGUGGAAAAUGUGCUCCAAACAAUUCUAUCAUUGUCUGAACAAAGCGAUUGAGACUAAACCAGAACUGAAAUUUAUGGAACAAUUUAUUAGGAUGUUUGUUAAUAUUAUAGGGAGCCAACUUUCCUCAUGUGACAUUUGCUAUUUGACCAUACAGACUCUAAAGAGGAGCUUCAUAUAAUGAAUGCUGAUGAACCCAUUUUUUAGGAAAACAAUCGAAAGUUCUCCAAUUUUUCCCCAAGUCCAAUUUGGAUAUAUUAUGAUACAAUUAGUUCUUGUUAAAGGGAUUAUUAGGAAUCAGCUUCAUAUUCAUUUCAUCAAACUGGGGACUGGGUUGAUGUGAUGCCACAUUAUUUGAUAGUUUGUUUACACUCGUUCGUUUCAGCUGAGUAAAUCAUAGCAAAAUUUUCUUUUUGGACCUAAACCAUUAAAUUUUACAAUUGUUUUGUUAGUCUCUAUAUUGCGCCAUCCCUUUUAGUUUCUUCGUUUAGAUCAAAAGAUUAUGCUUCUUAAAUGUCCAUCUCGUUGCCAUUUUAAUCAAGUAAGAGAAGAACACAACAUUCACUUUUAUGGCAAUUAUUAUUGGUGAUUAUUAAUUAAUUAGGAGCUUGCUUUUACAAGCUGAUUGGCAAUUAAAGAGUGUAAACCUCCUUAGUAUUUACUUUUUAGAAGUGCCAGUGUUGCAUGCUAUGCAUACAUCCGUUAUUUGUGCAAAUUCGAUUCAGGAAGAUUGAUUGGUUACUUGUUUUUCCACCUUAACUCUAUCACUUCUUAAGCACUCGUAGUUUAUGAAUAGAAGUGCAUUCUUGUAUCUACGUCAGUUUUUGUGAAGAGCCAUUAAUAUAAUUUUUUUUAUAUAUUUAUUGGAGACUAUAUAUUUUGUUUUAAUUUUCCUGGAUGACGGACAGGAUGUAAUAGCAACUGGCGGCAUCGAUACAAAUGCUGUGCUUUUUGACAGGUCCUCUGGUCAGAUCCUAUGCACACUCACUGGUCACUCAAAGAAGGUCUUCCCUUCAAACUUGCUUUCUCAUGGGAUUACUAGUCGAAUCUUGUUAUUCUUUCUUUCUGAUAGAAUAUUUUGCCUUUCUGAUUAUUGUAGAUUACAAGUGUGAAAUUUGUACCACGGGAUGAGCUAUUUAUUACUGGAUCAGCAGAUAAGGUUUGUUAUUUUAGUGAGAAAUUUUCUUUGGAAUAACUAAGAAAUUUCUCAAUAUAUAUUACCCCUUCUGCUAUCUUAGGAUUCGACAUUCAUUAGUAUAUUUGUGUUGUCCAAAUUGGUUCUAGAAUAUAAAUUGUUGAUGACAAGAUUAUUGAUUAUAGAUUCUGUAUUGGAAGUUUAAUGUUAGCUCUUAUUAUAGUGAUUUGUUUCUCCGAAGAUAACUACUGUUUCUUUUCUGUUGUGAAGUAGCUAUAUGCAAAUCCUGUACUUUUAAAGACCUGGCUGACUGCAGUUCUAGGAAUCCAUUUACAUUAAUACUUUCUAGUGCGGUUGAUUCAAAAACCUGCUUGACAAUAAUUAAGCAAUCAACUACUCGACCUGGAUGUUUAAAUUACUAAAUUUUCACUUAUUUCGCCAAUUAGUGUAUAGGGAGCAAGAUUUAAAGGUAGAUAAUAGUUGGAAAUUCUCAUCAGAUUAUUUACUUCGUCUGGAAAUAAGACCCUUUGGCAUUCUUUGCUCUUGCAUCAGGAGUUGGAUGUACCUUUUAUGCAUCAGUUGAAUUGACAUAUUUCUAUCGAGAUGCAUUAAUAAGCUAAAAGCCUAGAACCUGACUAAUAGAAGUCGCUUAUAGAGGAUAAAUUUUUAGCCUAAAAUACUAAUGAUUUUGCAAUAGAUAUGAGAUUUAUUAAAUAUACAUUUGUAAUUUGUUAAUACGUUUUGGCAUUCUCAUUCAUUUCAUCCUUUUCUUUUGUACCUUUUCUUUUGUUAUUUGAUUGGUGAAAGAGACGGCUGGAAGGGAAGUGUUGUCUUGUUAGUUUUAUUGAUAAUGCUUGUUCUAUGUAAAAAAAUGAGUGUUUUAAAAUAAAGGUUUUUCAGAGAGGUUUUAAACGUAGGUUGGUUUUAAAAUGGAAAAGUUGCACUGAUAUUGCUGAAACUUUGCAGUGGUAAAGUUGCACUGGUAGUUAAGAGGUCAUAUUCAUGGUCAUGAGUCUGAUUUUCUUUUUGGAUUGUGCUACUCUACCAACCUCAACUGAGUUGGUUGUGUUCAACCGAGUCACCAGUGACUUGCUGAUAAUUUCUAGCUGUUAUAGUCUAUUUUAAGCAAUCGAUGUUCCAUUGACCAGUUAAACAUUUUCUGUUAAGUUGAUCAAGAGUCAUCUUUUUGAUGAACACUCGUCUUAGUUAACUUGGGAGUCUUGGAGAGCACCUAUUAUCAAUUCAACAAGUUUCUGCUUUAAAGAAGGAUAUUCAGAAUACAGGAGACCGAGAGUACAACGGUAAAAGGGGUUACUUCUAUAAUUUGUGCUAUAAAAUGUGAAUCUCAAAGAAGUUCUGUCAAUGGUAUCUCAUGUCGGCAAUUUAUUCUCUUUAGAGCACAAAUAGAAACAAUCAUUGCAUAUGAAGUUUCAGAAAGAGAUAACAGCAGUGAUAUCUGUUUUUUGACUAAUAACUGUUUUGCUUGUGUGGCCUACUGCAGACUGUUCGAGUUUGGCAAGGGUCUGAGGAUGGGAACUAUAGUUGCUGCCACAUAUUGAAGGACCAUACUGCUGAGGUAAGCAUGAGUCAACUUUGUUUUUGCCAUGAUAUAUCAUGUUGCAGUGACUUUUCUCUUGGUCCUCUAAUCAAUUUUUGCAUCACGCAUUUAUCAAGAAACUGACAAUAUUGGUGUAAAGCUACUUGCAAAUAGUAACAUGUUGUUUGGUAACCUACUGUCAUAUAUAUAUAUAUAUAUAUAUAUAUAUAUAUAUAGAAUUAGACUGGAAUACUAUUAAUAGUAAAACCCUCUUUUUGCUAUCAAGUUUUUAGCCCUUGGAUGAAAAAUUGUAGGGUUAGGAUGAUAUUAGUCAGUUAGAGUUGAGUGGUCCUCCUAGGGUUGAGUGGUCCCUACUGGGUUAUAGUAUUUAAUCCAAUGGUUAGAAAUGAUGAAAAGAGUUGAUCCAAAGGCUAAAAAACUGGUAGCAACAAUGGGAUUUUGCUACUAAUAGUAGCCCAGUCCAACUCAUAUAUAUAUAUAUAUAUAUAUAGAGGCUAGGGCUACUAUACUCUUAUGAGUAUAGAGUCCUUCAUACUCAUAAGUUGUUUUCAAUGAUGGAGCUUCCGAAUCAACGAUUCACUCCGUUAAAUAUGAUCUAGAGUAUUUGAAACUUCUAGAAAAUAAAUUUCGUAAUUUUUCAGAAUCAUAAUAAAGUUCAUCAAGCGGGUAUAAAAUGAACGGUCAAAAUCGAACGGCGUCUUAAAAAUGGAUGUUUGGAUCCUUCAAUUUAAGAUCAGAGUUAUUGAUCUUUAUCUAUAUAGUGAAUAGAAUUUUCUAUAAAAAAUUCAACCGAUUUUGAUUAUUUUACACCGUUAAACUAGCAAAUAUUCCAUACCGGUCGUUAAAAGUUGUCAAUUUUGUGACCUUUUGAUCGUAAGAUAAAUGAUGUCAAAAAAUUAUAAAAUUUGAUUUCUAGCCGUUUUAAAUGCUCUAGAUAAUGUUUAACGGUGUGGAGCAUCGAUUCGGAAGCUCUAUCAUCAAAAAUAACUUAUGAGUACGGGGUGAUCGUACUCAUAAGAGUAUAGUAGCCGGACUCUCUCUCUCUCUUUCAUAUAUAUAGAGUCCGGUUGGGAUACUAUCGAUAGCACGAGGCAUUUGGUGUUAUCAAGUUUUCUGCCGUUAGAUUUACCUCUUUUAUUAUUUUUAACCGUUCGAUUAUACUGUUCAACUAACCACCCACUCAACCCUAGGGGGCCCACAUCAUCCUAACCACAUAUUUUUUAAUCCAAGGGUAGAAAACUUAAUAGCACCAAGUCAUUUGUGCUAUUAAUAGGAUUCCAGCCUAGUUCUAUAUAUAUAUAUAUAUAUAUAUAUAUAUAUAUAUAUAUUUUAAUUUCUUUCACCUUCUUGGUGUGCUGCAUUGUAUAAAGCUUAAUGUCACUAAUUAUAUCAAGACCAUUUUACGUUCCUGCACACUCAAUUUACUGAAGACAUGUACAAUCGCCUUCUUGUUAGUGUGUAUGUAACAUUUGUGUUGAUGUUUAAGUUUUGCUCCCCUGAAUUUUAAAACAUAGGUUUUCCUGGGCUCAGUUCUCCUAGACUCUUUUCAAUGAUGACAAUAUCUCCCUGAUUUUCCUCUUUUUUUAAUUUCUCUUUUUUUUUUGAUUCUGUCAUCUUGAGCUAUGUACUUGAUGCUUUUUUUUUAAAGUUGAUCUUGAUGUUUAACAUCUUUAUCCAUCAUUUCCUGUUUUCUUUUUUUUUUUUUCCGUGUUAGUGUAGAGGCAGUAAUAUGAAUGAAGAUCUAUAUCUAAGUCAGAUGUUUACAAACAUGAGCAAUUUUUAUUGUUUUCACCUCAUGCUUUUGUCACUUUAAACUGAAGCACCACAAUGAUCGGCCCCUGUGCGAGCUCAUUUUGCCUGUGAUUUGAUUUGCAAAGCAUUAGAAAUCUCAACUGUUGUCAAUUGAGAGCGAUAAUCUUUCAAAAUACAAUCAGGUUCAUGCUGUCACUGUCCAUGCUACGAAUAAAUACUUCGUGUCUGCUUCGAUGGAUAACACGUGGUGUUUCUACGAUCUUACCACUGGAUCAUGCCUCACCCAGGUCUCUCUAGUUUGCUCUCUCCCUCUCUCUCUGUCUCUGUCUGUUUCUCUCUCUAAAUGAUUACUGAGAAAAAAAUAUGCGCAGGUUGGGGAGGCUUCAGGAGAAGAAGGUUACAUGUCAGCUUCCUUCCAUCCUGAUGGUCUUAUUCUUGGAACUGGCACUUCUGAAGCCCUUGUUAGGAUUUGGGAUGUCAAAUCUCAGGUAUUAGCAAUUAUAUUCGCCAUGCACAUUUUAGCUUUUCUUCUAACUCUGCUAAAUGAGAUUUUAUAUUUUGCAGUCUAAUGUUGCAAAGUUUGACGGACAUGUUGGACCAGUCACGGCCAUUUCAUUUUCUGAAAAUGGUUAUUUCCUUGCGGUAUGCACAUAUAUUAAGUACAAAAAUUUAAUAGAAUAUUGGCUUGUUCUUAUAGCUUACAUACAUUACUACUGGCCAGACUGCGGCUACUGAUGGUGUCAAGCUUUGGGAUCUUCGUAAAUUGAGAAAUUUCAGAUCCUUCUCUCCUUAUGAUUCAAAUACUCCAACAAACUCUGGUAUGAAUAUGAUAAUUUGGUCUCGUCUAUGUUUAUUUCUGCUCUGCAGUAUUCUUCAGUUGUGUACUUGCAUAGAAAAUUCUCUGAGAAAAAUAUUUUCUUUCUAUUGCAACAGUUUAUAAGUUACUUUGAUUGUGAAACAAAAUUGGAACACCGUUGCCGUGUGAAUUGAAUCAUUUAGAGAAAAUUUCUAUUCUUGUCAUAGUACAUUAUGAAUUGCUCUAUUUUAUGAUGAUGCAUGUGCAUUGUCGUUUCUAUUGCAGUUGAGUUCGACUCCAGUGGAAGCUAUCUCGCAAUAGCAGGUUCUGAUAUAAGGUGAUACUUUCCUCCUUGUUCUUGUAACAUAAAUGAGAUGCAGUUGUUUUUAGACGUUCAUAUUGGAACACGAAAUUAUUUCUUUCGAAGGCUGCUAUUUAGAAUUAGAUCAAGUAGUUUGGAUCUGUCGCUGUGGCACUCUUCUUGGAAGCUAAUACAAUUUCCAUCGACAUCAUUUUUACAUCUGACUAAUGUAUCUGAAGGUGCUAGUGUGAUUGUUAUGUUACUUGUAGGGUCUAUCAAGUUGCCAAUGUGAAGAUGGAAUGGAAUCUUAUCAAGACAUUCCCAGAUCUAUCAGGCACAGGUUGGAAAGUUAUUGUCUGCUUUUAGGCAAAACGCUUAACUAUUUUUCCUUGUGUCCAUUUUGGACCAUAUUUUUAUACUAUUUCUUUCCAUUUUUUUUUUUUUCACCAAUGAUUGUUCUCUGUGGUCAGGAAAAGUGACAAGUGUGAAGUUCGGAGCAGAUGCCAAGUACAUGGCGGUCGGUUCAAUGGACCGAAAUCUUCGAAUCUUUGGACUCCCCGGAGAUGAAGCAGAGGAAGCCAAAUCAUCAGACCACUGAAGAAUCCUUAACUGCAUAGACAAUUUCUCAGGAUAUUUUGCAUCCGUGGUUGCUCUUUGAAGAUUCUUUAUGCCGCAUAAAAGGUCGAAACCCAAACAUGAAUCCUCUUUGUGGAAUUAAGGAGGGGAGAGUUAAGAGGCGGGAACGAAUGUUGUAAAACAUUACUGUGUAUUGUAGUUUUGGCUGAUAACUAACUAAUCAGGUAAGUUUUUCUUUUUUUUUUUUUUCUUUUUUUCCUUCAGAAGGCUCGUGGAACUUUGAUUAUUCUUACACCUGAGUUUAGAACAAGUAUUUGUAUCAACUUCCAUCAAGUAGAGUUACUGGAUGCGUCUCGGUGAAAGAUCAUGUGGGGAGUGUAAAGCAACCUUGUGUUUGUUAUUUCCAUCAUCCAUCUUUCGGUGAACAUCCACUUUUAAUGGAGUGUAACGGAUGCAUUUCUGUAUUUUGAGUUUUACAGGUCUGGUUGAGGCUGAUAGUGUGAUGUUGAUGUGGGAAGGGCCAUCCACCAUCCACACUGUAAGAUAUUGAAAUCAUUUGAUGUUAUUGUUGGCACAGUAAGUCUUAGGUAAUUUUAUGCUUCUAAGUAUUUAAAAGUAUUGUUUCUAAAUGCAUCACAAUUCCACACACAACACGGUUUCAACGGUUUCAAAUUAUGUUAGUAAUGACACUUAAUUGUAUUUUAGUUUAUUAACUAUAGGUUAAUAAACUUUGCAUUCAUGAUUAUUAAUUAUAAAUUAUUAUAUUAUUCUACUAAACAAAUAUUUAUUAACUAUCUAUAGAUUCUUAUGUUUUUUAAUCUAACUAUUAAGUACUUAAAAUGUUUUUAAUUAAAAUAAUUUAUUGUUAACAUGUAAAUAAAUUAUUUUAACAUUUCAAAUCUUAUAUUUAAACUAUUNUGCAUAUAUAUAUAUAUAUAUAUAUAUAUAUAUAUAUAUAUAGACUGAUAUACUAUCGGUAGCACGAAGAUCUCCGUGCUAUCAAGUUAUUUUCAAUGAUGCGGCUACCAAAUCGACGAUCGGUCCGUUAGACUUUCUACACUAUCGAAAGUAUUUGAAAAUUAAAUUUCAUAAUUUUUUGAUAUCAUUUAUCUAUCAAACGAUUAGUCUAAAAAUGAAUGGUUGAAAAUAAAAAUUUCAUAAAAAAUAAUGAUAAAAAAAAUGAAUUUAAGAUCAGAGAUACAGUGAAAAAAAUUUUCUAUAAAAAUUUUAUCAAAUUUAAACUAUUUUGUACUGUUAAAUUUACAAACGCAUCGCAUCUAUCAUUAAAAUUGUCAAUUUUGAGACCUUUUAAUUACUAGUCAAAUGAUGUCGAAAAAUUAUGAAAUUUAAUUUCCAAAUACUUUUAAUAGUGUAGAUUAAGUUUAACGGAACUGAUCGUCGAUUUGAAAACCGCAACAUUGAAAAUAACUUGGUAGUACGAAAGUCUUUAUGCUACCGAUAGUAUACCAACCUAUAUCUCUCUCUCUUUCUCUCUCUCUCUAUAUAUAUAUAUAUAUAUAUAUAUAUAUAUAUAAAAGAGGAACUUAGAAUCUCAGACGCCAACCAUCAAAUACUUUACCACUUGCGUCAGGGACCAUCGUUAUCAUAACAUAUAUUAUAACAACUAAAAGGAUAGGAUGGGUAAAACAUAUAUAUUGUAUUUAAACACAUUUUAAGUAAAAUAUUAGUAAUAUGAAUCGUUUACCAUAUUACUAAAUUUGUAGGAUACAUUUGAUAUUGACAACUUUUAGAGAGUUUUUAUGUAAUUUGUGAUGGAAGGACACUGCUAAAAUUAACCCUUAUAUUAAUGUAUCAAUUGUCUUUAAACACAAAAGUAAUCUCUCCAACUUAACUCCUAGACAGUAAUAUAAUCGUAACUAAUAAAAAUAAUUUAAAUUUUUUUAAAAUAAAUUAGUUAUAUCCGUGCACUUGCUGGGCCGCUAAUAUCACAAGUGAAACAAAAUCAAUGCGUUAAUUUCGUAUCAUUUUCCUGCGUACAAUGCAAGCAAAUCUUAAAAUAUGCUUUCAUCAUGUAAAGCGUCUGUUUUGUCUUAAAAGCCCAUCCACCGUUAGUAGACAAAACGUUCUCUAUUUUUCAAUAAAACUGUAGAAAAAUAUUAUACGAAAUGUGGUAUUAUGUGCGAAAAUAAAUAAGAUAUAUUCUCAUCCUACUACUUUCUCACCUACAGCCCCAAAUGAAGCUCCAGUCCCAGUUGGAGCGACUCAGCAACGAGGCGUACAAAUCAAGCUCCCAUAAAGGACUGGUACAAAGAGCCCUAGUCUAAACAACGUAGAAGCAAAUAGGUAGUAAGAAUAAUGUAAUCAGCAUCAAAAAGAAAUAAAUAGAGAUGAAUGGGCACAAAGGUGUGCAUUUUUCUCCUUCGCUCUCAAUCAUAGAUAUAUGAUUAGAGCGGUGAAUCUUUCAGAAAUGUAAACAAAACAGUACCAUUUAAAUCAAUGGGCAAUGGACUAAAAAAUAGCUAUGCGGAAAGAAUAAGGUAAAGAAUGAACAAACAGAUGGAUAGAUAUAUAUAUUGAUAUACAACAACAGUGGUACCGUCUCCCUUGCGGUUACGUCAGAUGGCGCGGCAGAUGAGUGAAACCCCAUAGCUGCAAGAACACAAAUGGCUCAGGCACGUACAAAACACAUUUUUCGUCGUCAAGAAAACUGUUGCGCAAAGAAACAAAAACAACAAGAUGUAUAAUGUGGCGGGGCCUUUUAAGAGCAUGGCACCUCCCGAGAAAUGAUGAAGUUCAACACAAACUUGUUUAUCUUAGUUCCACAUAUCAGUUUUUUAUCGAGGCCCACGGCUCUAAAUUUUCAACUUUUAACAGUUUCAAAGUUUUCAACUGUUCCAACUCUCAAUUAGGAAAUUCUCUAAAAUUCUUAAAUAUCAAGGUAUAUAUAUAUAUAGGGGGAAGUAAAUUUUGAUAAUAGGACCAUGAAAUUGAAUUAUGAUAAUAGGGUUUGAGUGAACAGAACUUUGACACAAUAAACCAAUGUUUGUGCCAGUUUUUUGAAGAAUAUAACUAGCUUCGAUCUUUUCAUUUAUCAAAAAGAUAACAAAGUACAAUAAAAGAAAAGAAAUUGCAUAACGGAUCGAUAUAUGGGUCAGAUGUGGCCUUAUACGGUAAGACUAGGCUGAUGUUCUAAAGUGAAAGACCUAUUUAAAUAGGUUCUAUCAAAACCUAAAUAGUGGUUUCUGACAGCGAGAAAAUCUUUUAGAUUCUUUUUUUUUUUUCUAAUUUUCGAAUUUUUGUUAUUAAAUUUUAGUAAAAUUUAAUAGAUUUUUAGGAUUUUUCAUGUCUAAUAAAUUUCUAAAAGUUAGGGAUAUAGUUUAGAACUUUUUUUAGAUACGUUCAGGUUAGAAAAUCCCUAAAAUCAUGGGAUUUGUUUUAGACUAUAAAUUUUUUUUUUCACGGCGAUAAAUGUAACCUAGGUCUUUGCAAUCAUAGGAGAGUUUUUUUACAGCAAUUUGUCUCUUUGAUCUCUUCCUCACAAUUCGGAGGUGCCCUCUUCCUCCUAUCAUUCUCUCCUUCCUUAAUACACAUCUUAAGGUAAUUUAUCAUCUCCAACCUUAAUUUCUUGCUUUUCAAUUAUAACAUCCUAAGCUGACCUAAAUUUAUUUGUGCUUGACGAGAGUAGGCAAACCCUAAAUUUGUCUUGCACCACUUAGAUGUAAUAACAACCAAACUAGAGCAACAUAAGAACAUGUACCAAAAGUGAAAAUUAGUUUGCCAAAAAUUUAUACGCGAUAAGGAUCUCUAAGAAUAUCUUUUGGAGUAACAUAAUGCGGAACUAUACUUGACUGGUCAGAACUCAUACCUCAACAUUCUUUAACUCAAAUUCUGGACUAUGAGCCAGGCAUAAGUUCCCAAAGGUUUCACAUGGGCCACUACUUCCAUUAAGCCUAGUCAAUGAAGAAAAUAAGAGAGGUUUAAGUUACGUGUUUCAAUACCUAUUAAAUGAAAGAUAAGAAACACAAAAAUGAAGACACACACACACACAACACGCAUAUAUCUAUAUAAAUAAUCACAACAGAACACUCACAGAUCUUCAUCAAGGCACAGAGCGAAGCUUCCACCCCCACCGAAUGCUAACACAUCAUUCAAGCACAAGUAAUAGUACCUGUUUGCACCUAUGCAGUAUAUCAAACAAGAAAAUUAGAAGAAGGGUAUUUCGCACAACAAGAUCCUAUCAACGUUCAUUUCUUAGGCAAAGCAAACUUAUGUUACUUAAUGGUACUCAUGCAUCAUAAUUAGACAAUACUGGCUUAGGUCAAUCCAGAGUUUGAACCACACUUAAGUCUCUCUUUAAAACAAGAGGCAUAUAUUAAUUGUCCGUGAAAGUUAAAAGGAUCUGCUAUGAAUUGGGAAUUGGCUAAUAUCAUAUCUAUAUCAUUCAUCCUCUAACAAAUAGAAAAUCACAUGCAGAUAUUAAAUGACUAGGAUCCAUUUUAGCUUCAGUCAUUAAAGUUUCCAUACAAAGCCCUACUUGCUCCAUCUAAUAGAUAAUUUGUUCUAAAAAUUUAUCAUGCUUUUUCUAACCUUAAAAGGAGCUGUCUACAUUGAACUAAGGCAACAGCUUUGGGGUGCAUUCCAUAAGAUGCUUACCAGUUGCUCUGAAAAGCCUUGGUUCUCCAUAUAAUGUAGUAAAUACGAAUGUUUGAUUUGUACCCUUGUCCACAAAGAACAUAGUGACAUCAAAUUUCUCAAACAGAAAAGCAAUCUGAAAAGGCAGGGAAUUUUAAACUAGAUAUUAAAUUUGAUGGUUCGAUGUUAUAAGACUCACUUGAUAUUUUCUUUUUGCCAUAGGCUUUAAAGGAGCAUCUAACAGACCACCAAAUACAGCACCUUGCACAUCUCCGACAAUCUGGGUAGCACAAAACAAAUGUUAUAGUGUUCUUUCACUUCAAGUAAAACAGUAUCUCUAGCUGUAGAACAAAAUAAUACACGGGGCCUUCUAACAAGAACUUCAAAAUGAAAGAACUGUUUGGGCAUGGAAACAAUAAUAUUAUAUACUUACUAAUAAACAUGGGCCCUGAAGAGCAAGACUCUUGCGAAGAAGGGUUCGAAGUGAUAUCCCAUGUUUCCAAGUACUGCCCUUCAAUAACAAUGAACAAUAUGAACCAGAACCGAACAAACAAAAUAUCUUUGUUAACACCCAAAUUAAUAACAAAUUACCUGUACAAUAAAACCCAUUGACACCCCUUCACAAUAUUAGGAAGAGAUGAUUGGAAAAACUCAAAAAGCUCUCCAGACAUAAAAGUGGACUUUUCUGUCAGAUAAUGAUGAAAGUCGUCAGAGGUGUGCGAGGUCGAUGGCUCUUCCCAUCCAUUUGAGCCAUUUACAUUUCUCCUAUUGCAGUCAUGGUUCCGAUUUUCACUAGAAAUAUCAAUCGAGUCAUCACUCUCACUUUCCGUUCCGCAUUCCUCUCUGCAUCCAGGUGGUCUAUAUUUCCAUGUCAAAUUACUUGUUUGCCAUCUUUCAUGAAGUGAUUGAAGAGGAAAUUGUGUUCUGUCUUGUGAAAGCGAAGGUGAACCAACGUUGUGGUCACCAUCUCCAGAGUUUGAAGCAACUAGAAAAGGUAAAUAGUAUGAAGAGAAAGAUGAUUUCUUGGUCGAAUUAAAUUCUUCGGAAGAAAAGGGUUUUUCCUGCAAAAAUAAAACCACAUUAUAUUUGUGAUUUCUUCUAUUAAGUAUGAAGAAGAGGAUCCCCAAAUCAAGACAAACUCUUUAGUACGUAACAUCAAGGAGUGUCACAACACUAUUUGAGAAAGAAUGUACCAUCAUACACGAAAUAACUAACAGAAAUAAAAAAGCCCCAUCAGAAAAUGCAUGUAGCAUAGGGCUGUCAAAAGAACCCUAUACCGACAAUUCAUCCAUCCAAAACACCCUAAUUCCCUAUUUACCAACUGUCAUGCAUAACCCAUAAAGGGUCAAAAUUAUCAUGAUCCUGAAGUUAUUAGCGUCACUACAUGGCUAUUCAACUCUAUCUAUUUCUACAAGACAUGAAGGGGUGUCAAUUUAAGAAUCCCUAUAAAUAACGGUAAAGUAGGGCAAUCCUUGCUUAAUUAACCAUAUUCAAUAGUCAUCUUUUAGGUCCUACUAUCUCCAGAGGUAAAAGCCCCAUACGCAAUCGAAUAUUAAAAAUUGACAGAUAAAUGUACUUUUCAACAUUCAAAGGGGAAAAUAUAAAAUUUAGAGCAGCGGGAAAAUUUGCCAUUUCUCCAUUUUGUAAGUCUAUUCGGGCAAAACCAGCUAAAAUUUAAUUGUUAAAUCAAGAAGACUUGAAUGAAUUUGACAAAGAGGUACAACUGAUGAGAUGCGAAACUUUAUGGCACAUUCGAACAUAGAUAUAAACAAAUCUUGUGAUCUUUUUCAUAGUUUUUCUAUUCCCCUAUGAUGUUACAAAAACUAUUCAAAUUUAUCCACCUCUUUCCGAAGCGUAAUGGCAUUUUCUGCCUUCUUACCCUCUUUUACCCUUCGAAUAAGAUCCAAAACUUUAUUAAACAUUUUACAGGAUUACUUUAUCAUAAAAGUAGAUCAAAAGGCUCAAUCUGAUCUUCUAAUCAGGAAAAAAAGGAGGAAAAGUAUAUUCCCGAGUCGGUUUUCAUCUUCUCACUCUCAAGAUCCGACAUUAACCACCAGAAUUUAGAAGAUUCUAACCGACGCAGAAAGCAACGAUCUCAAUUCCUUGCCAUGCAAGAAACCCAACAAUCAAGGUAUCAAAACCCAAAAUAAGGCAAAUCCCCCAUCAGAUCCGACGCGCGCACGAAUCCAAGAAGAGAUCAAACGCGUUCACAACAUCAAACCGGCGUGACGAGCGAGGAAUCGAGCGGCAUUACCUGCGAUUCGGGAGGUGCGACGGGGGAGCCAGCAACGUGCGGCGAGGAGGGGGACGAGGGCGAGUCCGCGAGGAGGCGGGACAGCUUCUCCGCCACCUUCUCCUUCCAUGAGAGCAUCACCAACUCGAAACCCUAACCCUAACCCUAGAUCUCGAAGGGGGAACGCGAGAGAGGGAGCGGUUGAGGAGGAGUCGAGAGGGAGUCGGUGGUGAUGCGUUCUCUCCGCGACGCGGAAAUGAAAUGAAUCGCGUGCGUUUUAUGUUUUAUAUAUAUAUAUACGCAGGGAACGGCGACGAUUUGUGAUUUGACGAAAAUGCCCCUAAAAAGGGCAACUAUUAUUUUUUUUUUAUUAUUUUGCCUAAAUUCCCUGUUUGGCCCUCAAAAUAUACGCUUUGUACAAUUUUAGUCCUUAAAUUUUAAGUUCGAAUUUUUAAAAUAAUUAUAUUUAAUUUUUUCAACCUAAUUUAGUUGAUAAAAUAUUAACAUUAAUUGUAACAUAAUUAUAUUAGAUUAUAGAAUUUAAUUAUAAUAAUUCUAAAAUUUUGAAUUAAAAAAUUAAGAUAAAUUAAAGUUUGAAGGUUAAAGUGGCAUUGUCGUCAUAGUUUGAGGACCAAUCAUGUAAUUUACUCUAAUAUUUGUUAAUUAAAUAUUAAAAAGUGUGAGGAAUCGAGAAUAUAAUAGCCUUACGUGUGAGUCUUUCCUAAAUUUGGAUACUUCAACGUUUGAACGUGGAAAGGUAUAAAGAAAUAACUGAAAAGUAUAAAUCAAAGUUAUUCUUGGUCAAAAAAGUAUAAAAGAAAGUGAUGUUUGGUCCUAAGCAAUGGAGAAUAUGGUGUUACUAGUUUUCUCUUAUUUUAAAUUAGAUAAAAAAAUAACGGCUAAAUAAUUUUUGAUUAAAUAUUUUGAAUUGAUAAUUUAAACUCAAAUAAAUCUCUAACAUCAAAAGUGAGUAAUAGUUUGUGACGUUUCAAAUGGUCACUUGGGUAGGUUUUGAUUUGAUCUUAAUAAUUUAAUUAAAUAUAGUGCGCUGGAUCAUCACAAAAAAUUCUUUAUAAUAGAUUUAACUUAAUUUAAAAAAUAGCAAUUUUGGGGAAUUAGUUUGCAACAUUUUCUAAUCUCUACUUACUUACUUUUAUUUAAUUUCUAAUAUUUAAAUAUUUACAACAAUUAGAUUCAAAUUCGUAACGUUAAUUAUUCAUGUGAUAUCGAUUAUUCAUGUGAUGUUGACGUCUCUAGUACCAAAUAUAAAUUUAAAUAAGUUUUUAUGACAAAAAUCUAUUUUUUAAUUAAUUAAUUUAUAAAUUUAAUUUGUUUUUAAGUAUAUUUUUUAAUUUAACUAUACCGCACAUAUUUUAUAUAUACAUAUCUGCCAUAGCAUACAAUUUUUUUAAUAUAUAUUCAAAAUUUAAAAAUUUACAUUUAGAUUUAUGAAUCAAACUCAAAAUUUAAGUUUACUUUUUGACUCUAUUAUUUGAGUUUAAACAAUUAUUGAUUUGGUAGGUCAAACCUGAUUUAUCUUUAGUUAGUAAGCUUUUUUUAAUGUGUAUGGAAUAUUUUUUAAUUCCAUCAAGUAUUCUGUGUGUCAAUUCAAAUUUUCUAUCCCUUUUUUUAUGUAUGUAUAUAUAUAUAUAUAGUAUUAUAGAUAUAGAUAAUGAAAAUUUACAAUUCAGCGUGCUUCAGCUGAAACAACCAGCAACUGAGAUGAGAACAAUUUAAUCUGCAUCAUCCGCGGCAAAAUCGGGCUCGGGAGGCUUCUGUAACGCGACCAGCCCCUUCACACUAUUACUUCGAGUCCUAUGAACCCCUCUUAGAGCAUUCGCCGCGAACCGCGACGCGUAGAUGGUCGCCCCGAGGCUCGAUGAGCCGUUGCCAAACUGAUCGGCGUCAUCAUCACAGUCGUCGUCGAGCCCUGCAGCCAUCUCUUCUCUGCGGCGGAGCUCCGCCAACUUCCUCUUUGAGUAGCGCCGCCAGGCCGCCUGUAUGAAGCACGCGGCCCAUGUCCUCCACUGCUGCGAAUAAAAUCUGAACGUGUGCUGCACCUGCCUGCUGUGAAGCCGCCUGAACUGGCUCGCCACGAACUUCAGCUCGUCGGCCCUCAGCGCGAAAGCUUCGACUUCGGUCAGGGCUUUCACGGUUCUUGUAGACGACGGGAGAUUGCUGCCGGCUUUGGGAUCCAGGGCCCAGGUGAGCAGCUCCUCGCCGCAGAAAUCACCCUCUUUCAGUAAGCCGCGGUUGAAGAACCCGCUCCUCCCGCCGUCGGUGGUCACGCUCUCCAGGCGACCGCGGAUGAUGAAGACCAUCUCGUCGACGGGAUCGCCUUCCCGCACAAUGUACGUGUUUUCCGUGCACAAGCUCGGCUUCAGCCGCUCGCAUAUUGCGUCUAGCAACCGCUCGUCCAUGUUCGCGAAAAGAGGGACCUGCACAGACAAGGAAAAACAGAUAGAGCAUUUAGUUUGAAACCAUCGCAUUCUGCGUUAGCGGUGUUUAGUUACCAUUGGGUGUCUAAAUUUUUAUUUUUAAUAAAACAGUAUUUCAGAACUCUGUAUUUUGAAAUAGAGAGCUCAUCAGAUGGCUGUUGUAUUAAAACUUCUUGCUACAGCAGUUUCUAAUAGUCCUUUCCUAAUGCUGUAUGAAGAUACAAAGCACCAAACAAUUAGCAAACAUGCUCAAAUCUUUAUCCUACUCGAUUCCUCAUAAGGUCAAAUCUUAUCCUAUUACAUCUCUGUCAAAUUUGGACAGAAAUAUCUGCUUAUUCAUUAUUAUAAGAUUGCCACAUAAGCAACUUUUCAAUUUCUUCUUGGGGAACUCAUGGAAUCCCAUCCAAUUUAAACCCAAGAAUUUAAUGAAACUAAUAAGACAGCAACAAGAUGCGAAAGCUCCUCUGUAACGAUUGAAAAGUCGGGGACCAAACUGAAACAACCUAAGAGGACUGGGAGUACCCGGUGCAAUUUACCCUGACACUAAUACCGACAACACUAGAAUCCACAGAGAGAAGCAUCUGGAAA
rnacentral:lncRNA from 1 species